AGCAAAUGUAGCCACAGCAGCUGCCUUGCUACCACCAGACUGGUUCCUCCUUGAGCCAAAGCAGUGAGAAGAAAGGUGAGCUGCUGUCAUCUGGAACAAUUUGGAGGGACUCAGGAAGUGAUUCUCAGCAAGUUCCUUUACUAACAUAAUUCUUUUGCAUCUAAAAUGAAUAGAGUUGCAGACUGUAGAUGUCUCCAUAAACUGCACUGAGAAGUGUUAAAUAGCUAGAUUUUCUCAAGUUUCCCAUGAGCCCCACAAAUUUUACUCAGGGCUCUGACAAUUCAGCACAACUGUAUGCAUCAAGCCCCUAACCAAAGUGCUCCUCACCAAAAUGCCUAAACUAUCUUACUCCUGUCCUGCUGACAUUAUUUCCAGUUUGUCUACUCUGGAAUAGAGCCCAGCUGGAUUCUUGGCAUACAGUUCCAUGAUGACAGUUUACAGUAAGAGUUCUCUUAAUGUUAAGUAUAUUAUAUACUUUGAGGCCAUUAUAUUAAAUAUCUUUGUAUGGCAAUUGAAAGGUUUAUUUUUAUAGAGCUGCAAAUACCACGGGAAUUCAUUAAAAAGGCUUAAUGUAUAAAAACAGAGGUGGGGGAGUAGAAAGCUGUAUGUAUUCUUUUAAAUUAUCCCGGUUUUCAUAAAGUUUGAUUAUACCCCCUACAAGGUAUGAAUGCAAGUGUAAGAAAGUGUAAGAUUACGACACUUUAAAAAAUUAUAUACAACAUUCAUUAUCAUUCAAGGAAACAGUUGUAUGCCACAAAAAAAUGUUUCACUCCAAGUGUUUCAGCACUUACAAACUCAAUUUCUAAAUAUGUGAUACUGUAAUUAAAACCCAGAAAGGCCUUCAGGAAAAGAGGGGCAAUUUUGAAAUGGAUCCUACAAGCACUAGUCUCAUUAGGCAAGCUACACAUACAAACUACAUUUGAUCACCACCAACUCCUCUAGGAGUAUCUAUGCAUAUUUCUUAACCAUAGAAAAGCCUUCAUAACAAGGUAUUUUAAAAAUCUCCUAUUUAAAUGUGUAUUCCACUCUUCAAACAGAGACUGAUAUGUGAAGAGUGCAAUUAAUUUAAAAGAAUUUUUUUCCAGUACUCUUACCUUCCUGCUCCCGAAGCAAAACAGGGUAUUUUUUAUGUGCACCAAUUUGCUUUGAUUCUUUGGUCAGUGUAAACCAUAGCAAGUACUGCAUAGUGUUAUGCAGACUGGCAUUAAUUAAAAUGUAGCUAAAUGUGUUUUACAGUCCAAUUUUUAAACUCUUGUUAUAUGCACUGAGUACAGAAUUACUUCGGAAUGUAAUCAUAUUAAGUUUGGCUCUAGCUGUAUUUAACAAUACUUCUUUGUAGUAAAAUUUAGCUUGUACCAUGUAAGCACUUGCAUACUCUUAAUCAAACAUUGCAGUGAAUUAUGGUCUAAAAUGAACAUUCAAAUCUCCUAAUCUAUGACCAACUUCCUGGCAAUUACAUAAUAUACAACCUUUUACAGGUGAUUGUGGGCAGAGAAAUUUUGCUAACCGGAGGAAAAUUAAUUUUUGCCACUUGAAAAUGGUCUUUGUUUUCUGAUGGUUAUAGUAGGCUUGCCAUACGUCAGGAAAAUUCCUAACAUGUCCUGGUUUGGGGGUGUAAAAAUGGCAUCAGGGGGGAAUUUUGACAAAUUGGCAAAAUGUCAGGGGAAAUCCAGAUGUAUGGCAACGUGAUGGAAAAAGCAGAAACAGCUCAAAAAGCUUUAAGUCACAAUUUUGGGGUUAGGCUUCCCCAAAGAAACUCAACAAUUUGGGUGGUUUCCUAAAAGCUAAACAACUUUGUGGGUGUCAGAAAUUUUACUUUUUGAAAUAUGGCAACAAUAUGGUUAUAGUUUCCCUAUCCAUUAGGUAAUGCUAUCCAAUUUGGCUUUCACUCACUUUUUUUAACUAGUUCACCACCUAAUAAGUUAAUCUCCAGAUUUGUCAAUAUAAAAAUUACCAUAUUUCUCUGUAUCAUGAAUGCUAAAUGAAACCUGGAAUCUGCAUACGACCUACUAAAGUUUCACCCAAUCAGGUUUGCUAUUCUCUUGUACACUUCAUUUUAGGACUGUAACAAAAAACCAAAAGCUAUAGUUUCAAUAUCAAACCAUUUUCACCCCCGCCCACACAGUUGCUAAACAUCCAACAUGAGGAAUUUUUCUAGAGAACUCAAAAGCUUGCUUACUACUUUGUGACAUCAAACAAAGGCAUGACCCUAUGGUAGAUUUUGCCGUUUUUCUUAAGAACCUACAUAGCAUCCUUUGCUUUUUGUGUUUGCUUAGAUCAGGGAUAAUGAAUCUGUGGCUCCCAAGUUGUAGCUGGACUACAACUUCCAUCAUCCCUGACCACUGGCUAUGCUAGCUGGAGCUGAUGAAGUUGGAGUCCAAUGAACUUUGGGAGGGCCACAAGUUCCCCAGUCCUGGCUUCAAUGCUCUUUUAACAACUAUGGCUGGUUUUAUUGAUUGGUUGGUUGUGGAGAGGGAAAGGGUAGGGUUUAGCUAUACUUCUAUUGCUAUUGAAUAUUCUUGCCUUUUCUCAGUUAUGCUUCUUGUGCUAAUCUUAAAAUGAUCAUACAUGAAUGCUCCGAUUAGAACUGAGCUGAAAUUUGCCAGAGAAGAUAUUUUCUGAUACUAUUUCUGAGAAUUUUAUAACCCACAUCUGAAAAAAAGACCAUUUUGCAAAGUAUUUUCAUUUUGUUUUGUUUCUGCUACAUUUAGGUACCAUUGUUUGUUUGAUUGUGAGUUGUCCAGAGAGUUUCACUUUAUGGUGUGCCAUCAAAUGCUGAAAAAAUAAAAUAUUUUUGCCUCCCCCUGCCCUGCCCACUUUGGUGAUUGCCAUCAGGGGUGCCAACUUGAAUAAAAUAUUGGGGGAGGGGACCAGGUAAGCCCAUCCCCACAUAAUCAAUCACAUGACGCAGUGCACACACACCAUUUAAAUAGGAAUGCCCAUCAACUCUGUGGGGGCCCUGCCCCCUCAAAUAUCUUGUUGUGGGGGCUGAAGCCCCCAUAGUUCCUAGGAGUUGGCUCCUAUGAUGGCCACCAUUUUUUCCUCACAGUGCCCUGUAAUGAUGCUGAGUCAGGGGCAAGGCAGAAUAUGCAAAAUGGUAACCAGUUUGACAACAUAAUCGCUGUGUCUUCUUACAGCAAUAGCAAGCAGAGAGAGAGAGAGAGGGAGAGUUGAGGGGAAAGGCAGAAGCCAUGCCUUCUGUUGCUGGUGUGGAAUGUUUACUUGAAAUAAAACUGGUUCAGAAAUGGAAACUUUGUCAUUCUCCAGAUGUUAAUGGACUCCAGCUCCCAUCAGCCCCAGACAACCUGGCAAAUGGUCAUGGGUGAUGAAAAAUGUAGUUUAGCAACAUCAAGAGGAUCACAGGUUCCCCACCCUCGCACUAGCUACCUUCAGAUCUUCACAGCUUUGCUGAAGAGCCCAGGGCUUCUGUCAAGUCAUAAUGCAAAGGUGUUCAGGCAUCUUAAAUAAUCCUUGUUUUAUUGCACCUCCGCUAUCCUUUAUUGGUGUGCCAUCCUUAGCUAUUGAAGUUUAUAUUGUUUUAUAUUGGGUCCCUUAUAUGUAACUAAAAGAUGCAGUAUUUUUAAAGCUAAAAUCAAGAAGAAACAACGUAACCAAAUAUUAUUCAAGUCAACCAUGACAUGGCAUGUAAUCAAAAUACAAUCACUGAUGGGGAAAGCAUUUUCAUAGCCAUUGUCCAUUUUGUAUGAAAUAUGCAUUAAAUUAUUAAUAAGUCCUCUUAGGAUAAAAAUGUCAGAGCUUUUUAAUAUAUGUUACCAGCGCCAGUUCAAAACAGUUAUUGUUUGCCUUCACCACAGAAAUGCUAUUAAGCCUGUGGCUGUGAGUGACUGAAUCAUCUAAUCCAGCGCAGUAAAAUUGACUAUAUAAUCUGUCGGAGAGACGCUACAUCUACCAUCAAAGCCAGCAAAGCAGAACCCCACAUUCUAUUUUCAGGUUCCAAUUUUUAUCAAUACCUUACUGUGAUGUGACUGAUGCUUAGUAUUACCUGAGAAUGAUAAUAACAAAAUUCCUGAUAUGCCAGUUUCAAAAAUCUAAUGCACAAGAAACAUAUCUGGAGCAGCAGUUUCAGCAGUAAUGGUGCAAAUUACAUCAUUUGCAACCAUUUUAAGGAAAGGAUACCUUCAAACAACGAUAAAAUAUGGGUGCAGUUCUGUAUACAUUUUUCUUUUGAUAUACUGCAAGCCAUCCAUGAAGUUUAUUAAUCUUUGCCACUUUUUCUAUCAGUCAUGAAGCUGUAGCUUUCGCUUGCAUAGAUAUCUGGCUCAGAAGCAAAAUAAGGUGUUUGUGGAUGGGGGCAGGGGAGGCCCGAAAGCGUAUUUUAAGAGGCAUAGUACCUGGCUGCAGCAGACAAAUUGCAGCUCUCAACUAGCUCUUACCUGGUCUUGGUACACAAGGUUCAAAGUGAUGGGGAUAAAUGGAUAUAGAUUAGAAUUGCCACUGAAAUCCUGUGUAAAAUUAAAUUCAAAGCAAAAGAGGGGGCUCCUCCUCAAGUGAAACAUCGGAGUAAUUUGUACAGAAGCCAAGAGAGUUUUAAUAAUACUAGCACAACCUCAUGCAGAAGCAGCAACCAUCAAAAGCAUAGGAAACUAACUCAUCAUGCAUAAAGAGCACAUAUGGUCACAUACCCACAUUACAAUCAUCACAUGAGAGACAUUUUAAAUGUAUAUAGUUUAUGUUUCUAUGUAUAUCCUGUUUUUCUGCCGCAAGGUACUCAACACAGCUUGCAGCCAGUAACUAAAACAUAUGAGCACACACUUUGGAUUUCUCAGAUCACUCCACUUGAAAGCUAUUACCAUACAGUAUGCCAUUCAUGUACAGUGGCUUGUAUGGGCUGAAUAGUUUUCUUUAUGCCAGGGUGGGGACGGGGACUUUGAUUCUCUCUACACUGGUGCAACUUGUGAGAUGCGGCAUUGCAAAAUGAGAGUGUUAUCCACCCACAACAUGGCAGCUGAAACACAAAGGGGCCACCAUGUCUCUUGCCACUAUCUUCUUGGAAUACAACGCCUGCAAAUGCAAACUUAUGUAUUCAGCUUUAUUUAAGAUAGUGGUCGUCAUGUAUGCAAACGUUUAUAGCGUGUUAAGGCAGUAACAACAUGUAGAAUUUAAAAUAGAAUCUGGACUCUUGGGUGAUAUGAUGAAAAUUUUACAGUUUAAUAAUUCAAGCCAUAGAAAAGCAUCUCACAACCUUGAGUUCCCAGAUAUUCUUGAACUACAACUCCCGUCAUCUCUGACCACUGGCCAUGCUGGCUAGGAAUGGUGGAACUUGUAGUCCAACAACACCUGGGAACCCAAGGUUGAGAAAGGCUGGCUUACACAAAAGUGAAGGGGACUGCCCGUCACUUUCACUUUCAGUACAUAAUUUCUGUCUUAAACAUGUUGAAAAACUGUUUAAAUGGGUUGUAUUCUGUAUUAUAUUGCAUAUUUUAAGGUUCACAUUUCAUGCAAAUGGGGGAAGUUCUCUCAUUAAAAAUUACAAUAGUGAUUUUAUUGUUUUAUCUUUUUGUAAACUACUUUGAGGGUGUGUUUUAUAAAAAAGCAAUGAAGUGAUGCAUGUGUGUGUGUACACACACACAUUAAAUAAAAAACUAAAAUUCAUAAAAAUCUUGAGAAGAAGAAUCAAGCCAAUUUUCUCACUCAGUGACUCAGGCUGCUAGACCUUUUAGCUCAGCUACCAGCAUGCAGGUUACUGUAACAAGUGGUAGAGUGUCUACGGUCAGUGCAGUGCUUUCACUUGAUUGUGCCUUGAACAUAAAGAGCAAUUCAAAGUCAAAGUUCAAAAUUGGAUGCAAAAAUAUACAGUAUUGAUUUAGCAGUGUACAACACAGUAACAGCUGCACAAAUUUUAGGGCAACGGCAAAAAGUAAAGGUGCAGGGAAAAGAUUUGUGCUAUUAUUCCAAGUAAAAGUGGUUUCUGUGAAACGUCAAACCCAAUUUCAUGUCUGAACAUCACUUGCCUCUUUCAGCCCAGGCCAAUGCACUUCUAUUGAAGUAGAACCCUUAAGACAGAUGAAUGCUUGUAGUUUGUCAAAGAUAUUUCUGAAUUCAGAAUCCCUCAGGCUAGAAGCCCCCAUAUUUCAAAUAAAUGACUCGAUCUCACAGCCUUGUUCCAUCAUUUCAGGAAAUUCAGGAAAACAGUUACAGUAACAAAAAUGACUCAAACUUUAGAUGUCACAGAAGACAAUACAAUACCAACUGUGUAUUUUAGCUUCCUGUGUAAGAUGGUUCAUUAGAUUCAUCACUAGGAGAUGGCUCAGAGAUAAUGUCAGUUCCACUGUUUUUUUGCUCAAAUACACUCCAGGAAAUCAAACUAGGCCUAAUGGGUUAAUUUGUCUCCUCAAUUGAGUGUCCUGGUUCCUUCCACAGAUGGCUGCAUGCUUUAAUGCAGUUUCUGGAAUUCAGAUGUUCUUUACAAAGUUAUCGUGUUGAAAAGAUCCAUAGACACUACCACUAUUUUGUAAAUACAAGGUUCUAAACUGUACUUCACAAUCUAUUGAAUCCACUAAUGGUUUGUGGUUCACAUGUUACAAUUUAUUAUCUAUUAACAAGUGAACAUUGUGAGGUGCACUCCCAACCGCACAAUAAUUAGCAUUAUGUUAUCAUUUUAAAAUAACCACCAUAUUUUUUUGAACAGGAAUAAUAGAAAAAAAUCAUUUAACUAUUUGGAUGCUGAAGGAUAUAAAAGCUCUAUCAACAGAAGGUACAAACGUACAAAGCAAAGUGUUGGCAUAUCCGUGGAUGCCAAAGAGUGUGUGUGUGUGUGUGUGCGCACGCGCGCGCACACACACACACACACACACACACAAACACAAACAACUGGAUGCUAUACAUAAAACUGUGACCAUGGACAGCAUGUGGCCAUGGACUGCAUUUAGGCUCCAUGUUUAGUUCAUCAGCUCCCAUUAUGAAAUCCAGAGAAGCCCAGAUUUCAUUUACAAAUCUUAAGGUUGAAGCUGUAUGUUUGAAAAUGUAAAAGAGACUCCCACAUGUACCUCGGAUUUUGUCUGAUGGUAUGAAGCAAACUUCACAUCUCAAUUGCUGGCCAGUAGCGGGGAGGGGGAGCAGCCAAGUGCCCCCUCAGCUCACCUUUAAGGUGAGCAAAUGAUGAAAAGCAUGGAUCAAUAAAGUGUGAUCCAGUACACUGAGGGAGAGUGGCAUAUCUCCUCAAGUUACAGCAGCAACAGUCCAUGUGGUGCCUUGAGAUGCUUUGCACUCUUGACUCCCACUGUCCAUGACCAGCGCUUUCCCCUAGAAUAGGUGUCAGUGCUCACCAUGAAGUUGUUACAGUAAGCGCCACUCUUUUUAACAAAAAGAGGUGCUGGUACUGUGUACUGUUGAGUACUCCCUGGGAAAAAGUACUGUCUAUUACCAGUGGCCAUGCUGGCUAAAGCUUAUGGGAGAUGGAGUCCACAGCAUUUGAGGUGAAACCUCUUGGCUACCAGUGAGUUACAGAGUACUUGUGCGGUUGUGGAGAAUGUUAGUUAUUCAAUGCUUGUCGCAGAUCUUUACUGAUUAAUAAAGUUGCAAGUAUGACUUAAUUUAUAUCUGGAGUUUUUUGUAUUCUUAUAACAUUCUAUUGUAUUUAAAAAUAAUAAAUUCACUGAAUUAAAAAAUAAUAGUGUAAAGUUAAGGACCUUGCAUCCAAAUACUGGCAGAUGUCUUCAUUCAGGGCAGGUGGGGGGAGAAGGUGGCAAUGAGGAAGCACCAACCUCUAAUGCAGGGGUAGCCAACAUGGUAGCCCUUCUUUUUGGCAGUGAUUGUAUUUUAUUAGGCCUGUGUGUGUCAUUUUACAUCCUGGUUCCAGAACCCUAAAAUCAUUGCACAGCCUAUUCCUUGGUGAGGAGGCUGCAUACUAGCUAUGUUUCGGGAACAAGCAGUCAAAUGAAAGGCUACAAAAAGUGGAAAGUGGGACCACAAACCUGCCACCAAAGCCCAAAACGCAAAUGGGGACACACACACAGUCUAGGUUGGCUUCGCCCCUAACCUCCAUUCAUUGGUCAGAAAAUGUGUGCCUACAAACGUACCUGUAAGUUCUGAACUCCCAGUCAUUUGGCAAAGUACUGAUUGUUUGUUUGUUUGUUUGGACUAGAGCCUGGGUCAUAUGUAUAGAGGUCCCUAUGCAUAAGUUCCAAUCAACAUAGUCUCAUUUCAUACCUCUAUACUUUUUGAGCCAUCUGCACAGGGCUUUCAUGACAUGAGUUAAAGAAGAUAUCUUUCUUUUAAAAGCCAAACACUACAAGGAAGGCCCCGUCCCCUGCAUGUACACAAACAAAGAAAGAGAGAGACACUUGUUUUAUCUUGCCGCCACCCUUUUUUCUGUACACAUGGCUGCUGGAAAGUUUUGACAAGGUAUAUUUGUUUUUUUGUUAGCAUUCAUAAAAGGUGUGAAUAAGAUUCUAAACUUUUUAGUACAAAGCAAAUCCAAACAAAGAGAACACUCAAAUUAAAGCUCUUUCAUUUUUUUCUCCAAGACACAGCAGCCUUUUCUAAGCUUUAUUAGAAAAUUAUCAUGCCAGCUGUCUCUUUUCCUUGACUGUUAUUCACACAAUAUGCCUCUCUCUUGUUUCUUUUCAGCUUUGUACAUGUAUAAUAAUGAGUUUUUCUAGAAUGGAAAACCCAGUGGAAUAUUAAAAUUGCAAAGAGCAGUUCUUCAAGUUAAUUUCACCAAAGUGCAUCACAACACAAUACAACAUUGUAAGAAUGAAUAUCUAAUAGGGCCUCAUUCAUGGAAAUUAAUUAAAAAAUGUUAUUCUGAAUAUAGCUUUUCAUAUAUGUACCAUUGUCUAUUGGCAAUAUUUUUAAGAAGUUAAACAUUUAUGAAAAUAAAUUGUUCAAGACCUAUUUAAUGGAUUAUGUUAUGAACAGCGAGCUACCCUUUAUUUUUAGGAAUUAAAACUGUGGAUUUGGUUGAUAGAUGUGUAUACUAUUAUGAUUCUUCAGGAAAAAAGAAGGAUAUUUUUAGUCAAGCUGUAGCUUUAUUUAGAACAAAUUAGAUGAUCAGCACCACUGUUGUGCCUUUGGGCCAAACUAAUUGUAGCACGUCUUACAUGUUUAGCUCAUUAUUGCUUAACCAACGGCAGUGGGGGUGAGGAGGAAUCCACAUGAGGACUGCAGUGUUGAGGCUAAACCCCUUCCUCCCCUGCUUAUUUAAUUUAUAUGCAGAAUUCAUCAUGCGAAAGGCUGGGCUGGAUGAAUCCCAAGCCGGAAUUAAGAUCGCUGGAAGAAAUAUCAACAACCUCAGAUAUGCAGGUGACACAACCUUGAUGGCAGAAAGUGAGGAGGAACUAAAGAACCUUUUAAUGAGGGUGAAAGAGGAGAGCACAAAAUAUGGUCUGAAGCUCAACAUCAAAAAAACGAAGAUCAUGGCCACUGGUCCCAUCACCUCCUGGCAAAUAGAAGGGGAAGAAAUGGAGACAGUGAGAGAUUUUACUUUCUUGGGCUCCAUGAUCACUGCAGAUGGUGACAGCAGUCACGAAAUUAAAAGACGCCUGCUCCUUAGGAGAAAGGCGAUGGCAAACCUAGACAGGAUCAUUAAAAGCAGAGACAUCACCUUACCAACAAAGGUCCGUGUAGUGAAAGCUAUGGUUUUCCCAGUAGUGAUGUAUGGAAGUGAGAGCUGGACCAUAAAGAAGGCUGAUUGCCGAAGAAUUGAUGCUUUUGAAUUAUGGUGCUGGAGGAGACUCUUGAGAGUCCCAUGGACUGCAAGAAGAUCAAACGUAUCCAUUCUUAAGGAAAUCAGCCCUGAGUGCUCACUGGAAGGACAGAUCCUGAAGCUGAGGCUCCAAUACUUUGGCCACCUCAUGAGAAGAGAAGACUCCCUGGAAAAGACCCUGAUGCUGGGAAAGAUGGAGGGCACAAGGAGAAGGGAAUGACAGAGGACGAGAUGGUUGGACAGAGUUCUCAAGGCUACAAACAUGAGUCUGACCAAACUGCGGGAGGCAGUGGAAGACAGGAGUGCCUGGCAUGCUCUGGUCCAUGGGGUCACGAAGAGUCGGACACGACUAAACGACUAAACAACAACAACAACCACCAGCCAGCUGCUUUUUUUUGUUAAGAAUGAACAAAACUAAGCACAGAUGAAGAAACACAUUACUGUGUUGGUUCAUAUGAUAUGCAGAAGCCAAACUUCAGUUUAGUCAGAUUGCAUGAAUGUGCAGGCUCCUGAAAAGGAGCUUAUACCUACCUUGCUCCUCCCUGGUCCUUUUUUGCCUGCCAUGCUAAACCAAGUCAAGGAUUGGCUUAACAAGUCAUCUGAAGCUCCAUUGGCCAUUGGCUCUAGUUCUCCCUACUGUCAAUCCCUCUGCCUUUUACUGUAACAGUCCCAAUAGGCAGCAGCCUCUACAAGCCUCCGUGGUAAUAAAAAGUAGCUGCCACGUGACUAAGUUAGUGUUUCAAGGGCCCCUUAACCAAUCAAGAAGGGGUUAAACAAAUGUAUACUAUAUGAACAGAUACAAUAACAGAACAAGGAAGAGACUGGUAGUGCAACAACACAUGGAUGGCCGCAGGUUCUCUCAUCCUGAUCUAAUCCAUGCAUAGGGGCAUGUAUGACAUUGAUAUUGCAGCAUUCAGAGUGCAGAGUAUAAAAAGCAAAAUGUUUAAAUAAUAAAUACAGCAUAAUUCAGAUCACUACAUCUCAAGCAUGCUAAAUAAGAUCAUACUGUACAAUUAACAGCCCUAUUUUGUGUACACCGUCACUGGUAUACACCAAAAGCUUAAGAAAACAAACUCAACAUGCAUCUGGCAGGCACACCAGAAAAUAGUCACUGAGUGGAUCUCAAAUGCCUUCUUAAUAAGCCAGUGCUUUGGGGGCAAUACUUUCUGGAUUAUUUUGAAAGUAACAGCUAAAACAGCUGAGUAUAUGGGCAAUUCCCUUUGCUAAACUAAAUGGGGUGGGGGUGGGGAACCUUAGUUGAUCUUUAAAUGGUAUGGCAGGUUCAGGGUGGGAGUAGUUACAAACACGAGCAAAUGUUACAAAGGUCUGAUUCACAUAUAACACUAAAUCAAACCAUGACUUAGUGCAAAUGUGUUGUGUCUAAAUGUGGGCUCGUGAUUUGUUUGGGGGAAACAAACCAUGAACCCACAUUUGGACAUAACACAAGUAGUAAACCAAGAACUAAUUUUGGUUACAGUUCGUGGUUUGUCUGAAGCAAGCUGUGGUUUGGUUUAAUGCUGCGUGCAAACUGGACCAAAAUUUAUUUGGAUUUUCUCCUAAAAGAGUUAUUCAUUUUUCUAACUGUCAACCAAACUUCUCCAAGGACUAGCAGCACUGCUAUAAAAAAAUCUGCCUUUUCUGAAGCAUGAAAACAUAUGUGCUAAGACAAAUAAGCAAUUACAUAUGUCUUUGGAUAAGUUUAAAAUGCAGUGCUGUUCCAGGACAAAGCAGCAAUAGGAAGAAUGAAAUAGCACUGAAGAAGCCACUACCAUCAUUUGCCCAAGAAUACUGUUGCAUGACACCCCAAUCUCUGAGCAGUUUGUUCCAGGGGUUCCAGGCACUUACCCAGGUUUCAUGUUUCCUUCAGAAUGAGGCACAGUGGAAACUGUGGUGUAUUUAUGAUAUAUGGUUUACUUACACAUAUAUAUAACCUGAACCUACAAUGAAGGGGGUGGGCUCACAACAUUAAUACCCCAAGAGUGCCUUGCUUCCCUAGUAGCUUUGCUUCCCUGGAUUCAAACAAAAAUCUAUUUUUUUUAAAAUGAUAUUUAUUAAAGUUUCACAAAGAAAGAAUCACAUCAACAUAAAAAGAAAAAUUCAAGAAUAAAAAGAAAAAUACACAAUGCGAAAUACAAAAAGAAAAAAAAGAAAAAACAAUUAAAAACAAUUCCCUCUUUUCAUCACUACUUUUACAUUUACUUGUUUCCCGGACCUCCUCAUACCUCCCUCUUUUGUAUUCCAAUUCAGUUUGUUAGUCCAGCAAUUCCUUUCCCUCCUUUUUAAUCCCAGUCCUUAAUCUUAAUAUUUAAUACAUUAAAUUUUUACCUAUUAAAAACCAAUUUUUCCAUUCUUUUACCCUUUUUAAUCCUAAUCCUUAAUCUUGAUAUAUUUAUAAUUUUAAAGCCUGUACAGCUAGAAGCCACUUAAUUUCAAUCCAGCAUCACUCUAACAUUCAUUAAUUUUGCAAUAUUUCUGUAAGUAAUCUUUGAAUUUCUUCCAAUCUUCUUCCACCGACUCUUCUCCCUGGUCAUGGAUUCUGCCAGUCAUUUCCGCCACAAACAAAAAUCUACAUCACUCUUUCUCUCUCUUCUCCCAGCUUGCUACUUUUCUUCUAGCUCACAUCACUUCACUAUCUGCUCACAACUCUGGCUUUUUACGUCUAACUACCCACAAGUUGAGGGAGGGGGCCCCACCCAUUUUCUGUCUUGCACAGAGCUACUUCCUUAAUGGCCCAUCACCUUACCAGGAACCUAACUCAGCUUUCCCAGUAAUUAGAAGGGCCCCAGGCAUUCGCCCUACCCCCCCCCAAAAAAAACUUGUAACAUUUGAAUGUUCAGUGGUAAAUCUAAUUCUGUAACCCUGCUUUUCAGUUAGGUAUUCUUCAGGUGUUUUUACUGGGGAUUCAUUAUUCCCUGCUGCUUUCGUACACGGAUUAGUUAAAUUUGCAGUUUAAUUUCCAUCAUACUCUUAUAGAAUAGUUUCUCUUGUUCUGCUUCCACAAAAAUCAACAAGUUAUUAAAGCCCUACAAGCAAUCAUCUGUACUAAGAGGUUAAAAUGGGUGGCAGUGGGUGAGACCAAAAGAUAUAUAUGCCAUUGCUGACAUUCUCUCGGGAAAUGCCACCAGUUAUGAACUACAAGUUUGGAUUGUCAGCUACGUAGGAACUGCUGAUAUUCUGCCAUUAUGACUUUUGUGCAAAUGAAACUGUGUGGGUGAAAACUGUAUUUAAGCAGAGUGCCUGGGAAUUUGUAAAAUGCAGAGAAAGUUUCCCACUGCAAUUUAACAAUUUAGCAGGUAACUUCAACAAAUAGGAAAGUAAAUCGGAGAGAAAUCAAAGCCAGCCUGUCAAAAGAAAAACUGAGCAAUGAAGUGCUCUACCCACCACCAGGUAAAAUGGGAGACCAGUCCCUCACACCACAUUUUGCUUCUAGGAGGACAAUAGGAUACAACUGUGAUAAAAGAUAAUUUUUCUCCAUUGCAUUCUUUAGCCACAAAACAGGCAAGAUAAGCAACUGGACACAAUAUUGUGCUUGUAUGAUUCUCAUAUACUUAGUGAGAAAUUAUAUUUAACUUGCAGUCAUUUUUUUAACGACACACUUUGAAUGUUACUGUUUUCGUUCAUUGUGAUCUUGAGCUUUCCCUUAUGGACUACAAAAUCCAUUUGCACCAUAUGCCGUUAUAAUUUAUUCCUGUUCUUAUUUUUAGAACUCGGGAAGAUGAGUCAUGCAUAAUCUCAGAUACAUUUCAAAGACAGUGUACAAUAUGUUUUUUAAUAUAUUCUCGCAAUGCUACACAACGUUUGCAAUUCUCAGCACAGCUGGACAUACUAACUCUACAAAUAGGGAUUCCAUCGUGUCAACCUUGUCCAUAUUAAAGCUAUAUGGGAAAAAUCACACUGCUGCCCUUUGGCAAGAAAUGGAUGUUGUUACAGACGCUAUCCCUUACAAACUAAAUAAGCAGGAAAGUAUGAUCUCUCUCAAAGCAGUUUAUCCAUUGUGUGAGAAAACUAGGGUGGCAGUUAUAGGGGGUCACAGGAUGGGGGUGCUGCCAUAUAAUGCAGGGUUCAUAGACAGCCAGGACUCCAGGAUAAUAUAGAUAAUGACUGUGUUGGGAGUAAGGUGGCAGGGAUUAGAAUUUGACUCAAAGAAGGAUACAUUAUGAGAUUGCAGCAGGCUCUCUGUCCAGUUGAGUGGGGGUCUAGAGUGUUCCUGGAGUUGUGUAUUCGGGACAGAUUAGGGAUUCUGCUGGUUUAGCAGCUGCCUCACUAUCCAGUAGUCUCCUGGCCUGAGCCGACAGAGCUGGUCUCAAAGGCAAUGUCGAGGACUCUCAGACUAUUGGUUUCGGGGACUUCAACUUCCAUGCCAGGGUGACCAGCUCUGAGGGGGCUCAGGACUUCAUGGCCACCAUGACAACCAUAGGGCUGUCCCAACGUGUCAUCAACCCAAUUCAGGUAAUACUUUGGACAUUGUUUUCUCAGCUGGGGAGGAAUAUAGUGAUCUGAAAGCGGGGGGAUAUUGACAUCUGUCCCUUGUCAUGGCCAGAUCACUUCCUGUUGAGAUUUAGGCUCUCAGCACUUUUUCUCCUCUGCAGAAGCCCUCCCUGGAACUGGAAAAUCUUGCCCUUUUGGGCAAUCUCCCCUUCUUGGGAGCUUCUUGAGUGGGUGGUUACAGACCAGAUCAAGGGGCUUUUGAAGGAAACAGUUCUACUUCUCCUUUACAACUGCUGAUGUGGCAGUGGAUAUGCUAGACCAUUGUCUUGCCUCACCAAUGAACUGGAUGAGGGGCAAUAAACUGAAGCUGAAUCCAGAUAAGACUGGGAUGCUGUUAGUGAGUGGUUCCCUAGAUUGGAUGGAUGGGAGGUUGCUUGCUCUUGAUAGGGUUACACUCCCUCUGAAGGAGCUUUGGGCUACUUCUGGAUUCUUUGCUGUUACGUGAGGCUCAGGUGACCUCAGUGGUAUAGAGUGCCUUCCAUCAGCUUUGCCUGAUGGCCCAGCUGGGCCCCUAUGUGGACAGAGCUAGCCUAACUUAUGUUGUCUAUGCUCUUAUAACCUCUAGGUUAGAUUACGGCAACACAUUUUACACGAGGCUGCCUCUGAAGAUGAUUCAGAAACUACAACUGAGGUAGAAUUCAGUGGCAAGGUUGCUCACUGGAGCAAGAAAGUUUGAGUCAAAGAACAGCAAUCCAUGGAAUUCAACUUCAUGCUGUUACAAACCUUCUGCCUGCACAAGCAUUUCAGCUUAUCAAAUGGAACAGUCUCCCUCAUCUCCCACUAUGCACUAUUCUGGGGGCUCUCUCAACCUCCCCGAUCCCAUUUUGGGAGGACUGGUGGGGGAGGGGCAGUGGAGAGAGCCCCACUGCAUAUGUGAAAGUCUUUGUGUAGGACUUCCACCCACAGGGUUCCUAGGGUGAAUCUCACACUAUAGGUUUUAUGUGGCUCACCUUUUAUGAGGUCAACAAAUUCACACAGAUCUACUUUUAUCUCUGAGUCAUAUUGUAUUAAUUUCCUUGCUCUCUGAGAUCAUCAGCCAAAGCUCUGAUUCCUAUUCUACCUAGCUCAAAGCAAGAUUUGUGAGGGCUUGGAACAUGCGUAGAAGCAUACUGGAUUUUCCAUAGGCCAUAAUUGCUGAUCUUAUAUAAUUCUAUCUUGUUAAUUUUAUGGUUAUUUCACAUCCUUUAUGUAAUGUUUUAACUGCUUUGGGUCACCAGAUAGGGGAGAGAAAUGGGAUACAAGUUGAAUAGAUGAGAUUUUACUUUUUAAUGUUAAACGUUUAUAAAUCAUAUGAUCAGAGAACUUUCAGGGAUCAGAAAGCACAAUAAUCGAUGCCAACUGCCUGAAGGCCAAAUCUUUUCACAUUGUGCCAUCUAUGUGGAGGUUUUUGUUACAUGUUUUGGGGACCAUGUAUCACAAGGAGACUGCAAAGAGUGACCAAAGAAUAAAGCAAACAAUAAUGCCCAGGAAAGUACAAGUCAAACCACACAAUGACAGAGAAGUCAAGUAAUAGUAAUAUUUAAAAGGUUACUAGUUGGAGAGAGAGAUUCAUGCUAUGACUCAUUUGACUAUUUAUUUGGAAACCAUAAUUUGCAUUAAUACUGAUUUUUUAAAAAAUCCUGAGCAUUUUAAAUAAUCACACUCUUUUCUGAUGUAUCCUCUCUAAAGAUAUCAAUUCUUUCCAGGAUGAGCCCUGAAGAAUUUGAGAUGUUUCCUUCACAUCUCAACAUCUGCCUACACAGCUGUCAUAUUAUACUUUUUCUAGUAACAGCUGCAUGUCACAGCUGUGUUGAAAAGGGUAGUGAGCACAGAAGGGUAUACACUAUGAACAAUGCUGAAAGCAACAACAGAAUGUGUGAUAUUACUCAUUUACAACCACAGUGAACAUUGUUGAGCCUUUUGUAAUUUGGCUCAACAAGAAUACCACCACUUUACCAGUCCAUUCCUUUUAUUUAUUGAAAGCAUUAAGAGGCAUUUUCAUUUUGAAGUAUUAAAAGCACUGCUUAUAUUUCCUCUCCUGACCCUCAAGUAAAUACUGAGAGAACAAAAGUGCUUUCAGUGUGUGACAGAAAGCCAGAACUUCAAUGGAACUUAGACUUCAAAGUCACUAAAGUGCUUUUGAAAAUGUUAACACUCAUUCCUUGCUAGUUUGAAUUAGACACUCAUUGUUCUAGACCAAAUGGAGCUAUAACAGUUAUUCAUUGUAAGUCUCUCUCCUCGUUUUAAUAGAAAUCCUUCCUUUGCUGGGAUAAAAAUAAAUCUUCAUAGGAAAACCAAUCAAAUGUGACAAUGCUAUCUGAUUUUUCAUAAUUACAUAUAAACUCUAUAUUUGAAGUUAUAGUAGUAAAGUAAAAUUGGCUCAUAUGUGUCCUCAAUGUAUCAGUUUAAACUUAUUACAAACUGAGUGGUUUUUCCAACUAAAGGGAAGAUUUAGGAUGGCCAGAUUUAACUGUACAACUGAAGAGUCAGAGAUAAAAAUUAAUUUCUGUGGUUACUAUAGUAAUCUACACAACCUGAAGAAAAAGCAGGUCAAAGAUUUUUGCCUUUUGCUACAAGUUUCCAUAAGAUCCAACAUUUCAAAAACAUUAUUCAAACAUUUUUUAUUUAAGUGCCCUCAUAGCCACUCAACUUUAAAAGAAAAUAUUUCACAUAAUUUAUUUAAAACCAUUCACCUUGGAUCUUAGGGAAGCUUGUAGCAAAAAGGCAAAAAUAUUUGACCUGCUUUUCACAAGGUGGUGUAGAGUACUACCACAACCUCUUUAAGAUACUCAAACAGAAAUUAAAUUUUCUAUUUGGCUCAUCAGUUAUACAGUGCCCCUCAAUAGAAAAACCAUUCAGUUUGUAAAGCAAGUAGAUAUAUUAGGAUAUUUGUUUAAUUUCUCACCUGCUUUGGCAACUACAGAAUGCAAAGUUCAGUUUAAGUUCAUGAUGCUUCAGCUCACAGCCUUUAAAAAUGAAAUAAAGUGGUAAUGGUGACAUCAUCAAGGCAUUCUCCCAUACACUUUUAGAGAGUCAAACUAUUGCUAUAGCUGCCUUGCCAAUACAAUUGUCCUGUUCAGCAUUGAUGGAGAGGUUGCUGAUUAUGAUAGAACCCAGGUAGACAAAAUCAUCCAUCACAUCAAGCAUGCAAUCACCAAUUUUGAUGUGUGGAGUGCUGGUGAUGUUCUGACCCAGGAUGUUGGGCUUCAUAAGGCUGAUGGCAAGUCCAAAUUCCCUGCAGACUUGGGCAAAACAGUUGAUGAGUCUCUGUUGGGCUUCCCCAGAGUGCACUGUUAAGGCUGCAUAAUCUACAAACUGUAUCUCUCUGAUAAGGACUCACUACACGUUUGUCCUGCCACAGUUGAACAGACCCCCUGUCACUCCUUGAAUGGAUAUACACCCUGUCUUCAGUCAUGCUGAAGGCAAAUGAGAGCAAUAGGGAGAAGAAUAUGCCAAAGAGUUGGGGUGAGAACCCAUUAUAGAUCUGUCCAUUGAUUAAUGUGGAUACUAAAUUAUUUACAGGCAUACUGGCCAGUAGGCUUUCAAAAACCUUGCCAAACUAUGUCCACCAUGACCUAGUUGGAUUCAUAAAGCAAAGAUCUAAUAGCCUUCCCUAUUAGAAGGGUUAUCAAUACAAUUUUUUGGAGGCAAUAACAUCUAGAACCUACUGUUCUCCUGAUGCUGGACACAGUCAAGGCAUCUGAUCAUUUAAACUGGCAAUAUCUCUUUACAAUUCUAUGUUCCUUUGGUAUUAGUGCAUCCUGGGUUGCUAUGCUGUAUAAUUUAUACUAUGGAACACUGGACCAAGUUCUGGUGAAUGAGGAACACUCUUCGGCAUUUCCCAUUGGCUGGGGGAUCAUCGUUUCCUCUGUUGCUCCACCCCCCACCCCCGGCCAUGGAACCCUUAGUUGAGGUAUUAAAAGCAGAUGGUGAUGUAAAAGGUUUUGAAUUAUUUGGAAAAACUCAUCCAUAUGUUCACAGGUGAUGCUGAGUAUUCCUUUCUGAACCCUCGUUACCUGCUGUUAAUGCACCAACUUGCUAUAGAUGGCAAGGUAUUUGGAUUCACUGUCAACUUCACCCUGCCAAACCUAGAACUACAUUGGCAUGAAACAUCUGGCCUGAAACUUUGUAAUGCCUACUUUUAAUACAUAGGAGUGAAUAUACCUAAGAAUCUAUCCAAACUAGAAAAAUGGAACUUUACUCCCUCGAUAAAAGAUUGAACAACUAAGAUAAAAAAUUGAUCAAAGCUAACACCCUCAUGGUUGGACAGUUUCUAUAACAAAAAUGAUGCAAUUACUACACCUUCUUUACUUAUUCCGAGUCUCACCAAUAAGCAUACCGAUUUCUCAUGUUAAUAAUUGGGGCGGGGGGAUCUACUAAAUUUUAUUCAUGCAAACAAGAGAACUUGGCUACUUCAUAAAACCCUUUAUAGGUUCAAGAAAGAAGGGGGUAUAGCAAUACCUAACCUAAAAUAGUAUAAAGACUCCACUCACACAAUAUUAUUUUGAUUUUACAAGGCUCAACAAGGUCCCAUGGUUUAAAAUGGAGGAUGAUAGAGGUAAAGACUUUAUGGAGUGGGUUAGAAUGGGAAAGAUGGAGUGAAGCUUGGACUCAGAAACUUUUCAAAUGGGAAUGUACCAUCAGUUUGUGGCUAAGUACACAUUUAGAAUAGCACAAUAGAGUGUGGACAACCCACUCUUAUGCAGGUUUAUCUCUGGAUUGGGACAAAUGAAAAUAAGCUACUAAAGUAAGCAUAUUUUAAUAACUCAAUUUUUCUAUGCAUCAUCAGCUCCUGCCUCCCUUAGAGGGCUUAUUAGAUUCAUAUAAGAAAAUUCCUAUCACCUAGCUACUUAAAAGUUGCAUUAAUCAUUUUAAACUCCUCCCAAAUCAUGAGCAGAAGGUCUGUUCUUGUGCAGUAAAUAUAGAUGCUCCCCAUGGGUGUGAAUGUACAGUUAAUAGUGUAUAUAUGCACAAGAAAUACUGCAGACAAAAUUUGGCAAACGUGGACAACAUGUAGUUUGGCAACAUAUAUGAAUGCAGCAAUCUCUUAUGGCUGUGGAAAUUUUAAUGAGCUUAAAGGAGUUUGUCCCACCACAGCCUGUAUUGUCCUUGUUGCCAUAAAACAGAAUUUCACAACAUGCCUGAUGAGAUCCAGAACUUUAUUAGCAAGAAGGUAUUUAACAUAAGUUUCCUCUAAACGGCUAGGUAAUUUCCUUAUUAAUGGUUGAAUUAGCUCUAUUUGGGUAUCACAAUACAAAGGGCAGUAUAGAACAAUGUGCCCAAUGAAUUCAAUCUCAUUAGACAGGCAUAGGCAAACUCAGCUCUCUAGAUGUUAUGGGACUACAACUCCUAUCAUCCCUAGCUAACAGGACCAGUGGUCAGGGAUAAUGGGAAUUGUAGUCUCAAAACAUCUGGAGGGCUGAGAUUGCCUAUGCCUGUCAUUAGAGUUGCAUGGGCAUAAUCUUUGUUCAACUGGGAUGUCAUGAUAUCUGCCCUCUAAUAGAGCUGAAGGGAGAACAUUAAAAUGGGCUCUGGGGAAUGCCAAUAUUUAGGGUUGGGGAAGAAUGUAAGAUAUUUUCUAUUGUUGUUUUGAACUGCUGGUUUCAGAAUGAAAUUGUUUAAAUUGAAUUGUGUUUGUGUUUUAUGAUCUUGAUUAUCUAUUGUAAACUAAAAUUGAGCACCUCCUGGCAGCAAAUCAGUCCAUGAGUGAAUUAUCUUGCCUGCACCCACCACAGAAUGGACGGAAUAAGCCAAGCACUGUGAAACAGCCAUGGAGAAUGCUUCAGAAAAUGUCACAUUUGAUUUGGUAACCCAUUAGUGAUUGUGGGGAUAACACUUUCUGUAAUGUGAUAACACCAUUGAAAUCUAGAUCAACAUAAACAGAGAUGAUGUAAAAGUGAGUGAGAAUUCUGUUGUCUCGUGGAACUAGAUAUUAAUUAUGAGACAAAUAUGGUCUGGCUUCAUUCCUGGAAAACUUUGCACUUGUCUCAGAGCUACUCUCAGCCAGUUCCAGUUCUCCUAUACUAUUAAAGUUUUUGAAUAGUCUCUUGAGCAUUAUAUUUUUAUUGUUAAAUCUUUGUAGUACCCUCAGUCUGAAUAUAUAUGAAAGCAAAGCAUGUGUAUUUUUCAUUUUUUUUACAUAUAGAAAAAAUGCCUCAUAAAAUAUCAUUACCAGCAUUAGUAUACCCUCAAUUUUCUGUAAUAAGAAUGUAUCCUUUCUUCUCAUUUCUGCUCACAUGAAAUCUGUACUAUCCUAAAUAGAAAAAUAGAAGACUUCACAGCUAAAAGAGAUAAUAAUUUCUGCUUAAAAACUUGACUGUGAUCCCUGAUUUGAUUUUUCUAGAAUUUUAGCCCAUCCAGUCUCAGAAGCUGAGAGUUUGUUGCAAUGAAUCCAAGCACACCUACCCACCCACCACUAAAUGGAAAAUAUGGAAUGUUAAAAUCCCCCCUUUUUUUCCUUCUUCUUCUUGUUCUUGCUUACUUUCGCCCGUGUCACUCCUCUCAUUCUUUGUUCAAUUGUGGAUAUGCUCACAGCUUAAUUUAAAAAAAAAAUAAAAAUCCACACUUUUUCUCUGUAUGCUGCAUCAGGACUAGAGAAUAUAAUUUGAGCUCAUGGCUAUUCUUUAUUAAGCACUUUACUAGGUCAAACCAAAUAAUGAUCAUCAUAUCAUAAACAUGCAACAAAACAUAGACAUGUUCAAUUAGGAGCCUUUGCUGAAUUGGCAAAUAAACAAUAGAAGAGAAACAUUUCUCUCCCGUUAAAGUAAAUUACAUCCCUAGUGGAUUCUCAAGGCUAACUAUUGUCUGAAUAGCUCCUUCCCAGUAGGUCCUCUCAUUUCCGUCUACAGCACAGUGGUUUUUAGACUGUUAAAUACAUAGGGACACUGAGUGUUUUGCUCACAUUCAUGUCAAUUAAAGAUGCUGGUGAAGGUCAGUGGCUUCAGGGCCGAGUGAGGAGUUGGGGGGGGGGCUUACUAAUAUUUACCUCAAAGCAGAAGCCAGCAUUAGAAAACAGUCAGUUCUUUCAGCUCAGAUUAAAAUAGGAGCCAAAGAAGAUUAUGGGCUGAAGUGCUACACUGAAGAGCUGUCCUUGCUAAAAGUGCUGUUGGAUGGGCGAGCAGAAACUCACCUUCUGUUGUUGUUUUUUUUAAAUGAUAUUUAUUAAAGUUUCAAAAAAAAUACAAAAAAUACAGAAUACAGAAAGAAAAAGAAUAAAGUUUUUUUAAAAAAAUAUAACCAAAGAAGUAAAAAAUAAAAGAAAACAUACCAAAUAAAACAAUUAAAAGGACAUUAAAUUUCCAUAACCUAUCUUCCUUAUACUUAUUUCCCCGGACCUCCUCAUACCUCCCUUUUUUGUAUUCCAGUUCAAUUUGUUGAUUCAGCAAAUCCUUACCAUUAAAAUUACCCAGUUGCAAACCUUUUUUCAUAUCUCUUAAAGCAUUACAGCUAAAAAAACCCUCAGUUUCUAUCCAACAUCCUUCUAAGAUUCCUUAGAGAAGCUCACCUUCUGAAGCAGGAGUGUGGUGUUCUUUUGCCCCAGAGUAGCAACUUUGCAGGCUGCAACUCUUCAAAGAAAGAACAAAACUACGAAAAGCAAUAAGAAACAUUUGCCUUGGUGACUGCUUUGAUGGGGAAAGUUUACUGAGAAUGGCUCAGAAAUGACCGCUUAUAAAUAAGUCCUAAUAAUUUCAUGAGGUUUACUCACUUGUAGAAGACACCAGGAUUGCAACUUUAGACCCUCUAAAGCUCUGAUCAAGUAUCCAUAUUCAUCAUCACAAGGCCUAUUUGUUUAGUCAAACCUUUGGCUAAACAAUGUGCUCUGACUUGUUUAAAAAUAUUCAUUUAGUCUGAUUUUUACUGGAUUCAUUUGUUGUGGCUAUAGAAAUUCAGAGUGAUGAUCUAUAUCACAAUUUGACAAUAAUACAUUGACGAUAUAAGGAAGGAGCACAAUUACACCAAUAUCAGGGUCUGCACCCCAUAUUAUGUGUUUGUAACGGACGUUUGCUAUUAUGAGCAAUUGUGAAAAGAACUCAAAUGGCCAAACCCAGACUAAGACAUUUACAGAACAGGUGAAUAACACACUUGCAGUGCAUUCAGGAAAGUAUGAAAAUCAAAUAACCAGAAAAUACUCUGAUCUAAGUGUGGCCCAUGGUUACCAGUGGAUGAUGCUGCUAUAUAGGAAAAGAUGUAAAGAGGUUCCUUAAAUUACAUAAGAAAGCUUCUGUGUAUCUGAAUCCAUAAGCAAGCUAAGCUCUUUGCUUUCAGAAUGGUUAAAAGAGCAAAUCACAAAGUCACAGAUACAAAUUUAAUGUGACAUUUGCAGGACAUGAACUUCUGUCAUAUUACUAUCUUAUUUUCAAAUAUAAAUUGAUGAGGCAAGCAGUCUUUCCUUGUGGUUAUUUUUUUCAUUCUAUACAGGGAAAGAAAGAAUAGUAAAGUGUUUCCAAGAAGUGUUAAACCCAGUACUAACCUCAUUUACUUACAACAGAAGACUUAACAUUGAAUGUGUGUAAGAGAGAACUGGAGGAAUAGGGGCAAGAGGCCACAAUCACAUUGUAAAGCAGAUGCAAAUGCUUCAGAGGAUGAAAAGUUAAAUCAUUGAUUCAGAAACAGUGUGGUGAAGCCAGAGCAAAAGGAACUUCCCUCGUUUAAAAAUGAAGCAAAGGAAUUUGUGCCUUUGGCUGUAUGAUACAAGAAACAGGUAGGCUGGCUGAAAAUAUGGGUGCUGGAGAAAUAAUCAAUCAUGGCUUGAAACACAGGGGCAGUGACUACACUCCAUCUUCCCUAAAUGGUGAACCUGAAGGUAGGAGAUCCAUAGCUUCCUAAAGGUCUCAAAAGCAAGUCAAGAUUUUUCAUAAAAAGUUUGACAUCUGGUCGCAUGGGAACAAACUGCAAGAUCAGUGGCUGGGUGUCAUAUCGUUCUCUUGAAAGCAAAUGAGGAGGGGCGAUGUGGAUCAUGGCCAUGGUGCAGGGGUUUGAGAGUGAAAUGAUUUCCAUCCUUUCCCUCACAGACAUUGUCCCAUUCCUGGAACUGUUCUUAACCAAAGAGAUGAAAACACACAGGCACCAUACAAGAAAGCAAUAUAGUCAGCAGAGAAAAUGAAACAAUACCAACCCAAAGCUUGCUGGAAAAGCAAAGUCUCACAUUCCCUUCUGAAUCCCGGCAGGGAUAUUAAUCUAUGUAGCUGUGCGGAAGGCUCCACAGUUUAGGGGUCACUACCAUAAAGACUCUUGUUCUAGCUGCUACCAGCCUUACUUGAUGCAAAGAUGGAGCAGCAAGCAAUGCCAGUUGCCCACAUCUCAAGUGGUCCAUGGACCUGCAGUUUUUAAUAAAAUAAAAUAAAAUAAAAUAAAAUAAUGACACGGAUCUAUACAGUGGCGGAGCUUCAUGCUCCGGCACCGGGGGCGGAGAGCAGGCGGGGGCGUGGCACGAGUCCCGGCGGCAUGGCGCACCGUCCUGGGGGUGUGGCACACCACCUGUGGGGCAUGGCGCCCAGCACGGGAGGGGGCAGCCACAAUGGCACCCCACCGGGAUCGUGGUGCUGGGGGCGGUGCGCUCCCCCCGCCCCACUCUUCCUCCGCCAGUGGAUCUAUAGCAAUAAGUUUAUUCAUUUUAUGCUACUUCUUUAUAUUGAAGUAAUAUUCAGAUGGAGAGGCACUGUACAAUAACUGCUUGCCAAGUGGCCACCUCUAUCCUGUAAUUUUUUUCAGUUUCUAAAUCAAUUGGUCAAAGGACUAGUGCACGUUGUGGAGAUUGCAUCAGUGGUGAACUGGCUCAGCAUGGGAUUUCAUCAAGGCAUUUCAUCCAUACAACAAGAGCCUUCCUGCCCACCUGCAAACAGGAAAGCAAUAGCAGGUUAUAGAAAAUCCCCCCCAUCCAAGUCAUGAGCCACUUUACAGAACUAGCCCACCGUCUAGUAACUGCUGUCCCAUGGGGCAAUUUUGAAAUGCUAUCUAUGUAGCAGAUAUACAAAGCUGCAACUCUGUAUACCUGAAGGAGCAUCUCCAUCAUUCAGCCUGGACACUGAGGUCCAGCUCCAAAUGCCUUGGGCAGUUCCCUCACUGUGAGAAGUGAAAUUACAGGGAACCAGGCAGAGGGCCUUCUCGGUUGUGGCACCCACCCUAUGGAAUGCCUUCCCAUCAGAUGUCAAGGAGAUUAAAAAGCAUCCCUUCAGAUGUCUUCAGAAAGUUGUUUAAGUUUGAUGUUUUGCUGUGAUUUUAUUCUGUUGGAAACCACCCAGAGCGGCUGGGGCAACCCAGUCAGAUGGGAGGAGAAGGAGGAGGAAGAGGAGGAGGAGGAGGAUAUGUUGGCAUUAUUUGAGGUGUUGGCAGCUUAUAAUUAAAAAUAUUUUUUUUCCUCUUCCAGUUUAGUAUUUCUGUUCCUCCUCCUCCUUUCUUCUUCACUUUUUUGUCAGAGCACUAGCAUAGAUUUGUGUAUUUUGUUUUACUCUCCCAAGCAAGUCAUUAUUUCCCUGCACACCGUGACUGUUCUCUAGUAUGUAAAGCCUAUAGUUCUUCAGUUGAGCAGUAGAAAUGACUCAUUUGCUUGUAUACAGAAUAUAUCACAAUUGCAAUUUUAUAUCAAAUUAAAUUGCUUAUAAAUAUUAAGAUGAUUAAUAUGCAGUGUUUGCAUAAAGUAGGUCCCAUGUUGCUGGAUUUUCUGAGCCAGCCUCACUCAUAUGCUGGGUAAUUAUAUAGAUUUUUUUAUUGUUGUUGAGGAAGUAAAAUGUAUGCAGGAAUUUUUGAGAAAUAGUGGCCUUGGGGAUUGCAUGAACAAUGGAUCAGAUUCUCUUGUUCUUGUAAAGUUUAAAAUCCACAUUUCAGACGCUUUAAUUGGGGAGAGGAGGAUUUUAGUACACAGCAGUUCUAGCUCUCAGCAAUAUUGUCCACUGAGAGCAAUGCACUUGGUGCUACGUCCACCACACCUGAACUACAUUGAUCUAAUGCUUCUCACUACAGGCGUGCUUUAGGACUAUCUCCCAUCAAAGAAUGCAUGCAGGAUUUUAAAAUAUUAAGAAAAAAGAUCUAUAUAAGAGACUAUAUUUUGCUGGCUCCUCAUCAUGGAUUUUUGCUAACUUUUAGAUGGUUUUUCAGCCACCCAUGUAAAUGUUUUAGUCUGUGCUACUAUAUAAUCUUGAUUACAGUGGUACCUCAGGUUAAGUACUUAAUUCGUUCCGGAGGUCCCUUCUUAACCUGAAACUGUUCUUAACCUGAAGCGCCACUUUAGCUAAUAGGGCCUCCUGCUGCUGCUGCGCCGCCGGAGCACGAUUUCUGUUCUCAUCCUGAAGCAAAGUUCUUAACCCGAGGUACUAUUUCUGUAACCUGAAGCGUAUAUAACCUGAAACGUAUGUAACCUGAGGUACCAUUGUAUUCCUGUUUUUUAUUAGGGUGAUUUGUUUUAAAAUACUACACCUUGCUUUUCCAGCAACUGAAGUCCAGAGUUGUCUACCAGCAAAUACUAUUUUGAUUUAUUUAUUUCAUACAAAUCAUAUACUGCUUGAUUGUAAAACAACAACCCUCAGAGCAGUUUAUUAAAACAUAGUCAAAAUAAAACACAUGCAAUUAAACAAUAACUAGAAUAAUGAAAGCAUAAAACAAGCAAAGCAUCAGCUAAAUAAGCAGUGAAAUAAAUAAUAAUAAUAAUAAUAAUAAUAAUAAUAAUAAUAGAAUAUCAUACCUGCCAAGUGCCCAAUUUUUCACACAAGAGUGUGGUAGCCAUUUUGGGUGCCACGAUCUCACAUGCUCAUGCUCAUGUGCUGCGCUCUGACCCUGAAAAAAGCACUUUUGGGUGGCCGCAAUCUCAUGCAGCACCCCAAAAUGCUUGUUUGGGGGCACCAUGUAAGAUUGUGUCCUGAAAAAAGCAUUUUAAGGGGAGGGGCAAGAGUCUGGUGCAGGUCAUGUGACUCUCCCGGAAGCAUGUCCAGAAGAUAUGCAUCUUGGUUUUCAAUCAGAAAAAAUGGAUGGUAUGGAAUAUUACGUAUCAACAAAGGCUUGGUGCUCUGUGCAUACAAGCAUAACAUAUCCUCUGGCAUCAACCCAAAUCUACUCCCCCAGCGUAAUGCAGAAGCACUCCUGCCUGCCAUUGCACUGCAAUGCAACAAAGGCUGGCCUCACAAGACUAUGAGCAGGAAACCUGUAAGCUUGCUCAGUCUGCUGUCCAAGUGUUGGUGAUGGGCAACCUCAAGGCCUCUGCUCUCCAUUAUUAUGGUUCUUUAAACAUAACCAUGGACCUGAUAACCUAAACAGAGGACAGCUCGCUGUACAGUAAGGCACAUGGCAGCCCUGUCUCCAGUGACCUAGACUUUCACCACAGUUAAAGGCAUGGAGUAGUCAGGCCCUUGCAGCUGUGGAGGCAGUAGGUAGGCAGAAGCAGGUAGCUGAGCCAACCUACAGUUGCUUGAGGCCCAGUGUCACAAGUCCAUGGCCAUGGUAUUUUCAAGAGCCAUUUUGAACCUGGCUAAACUUCCUCUCUGGCGCAUGAUUACAGGCUCCCCAACCUCACUUAGUCACAAGUCACUGAUGGACACCAGGAGUGAUCACCACACCCAGACUGAGCCAUAACAUCUUCAGGACCCAUGCACAAAAAGAAGGAUUCUGGCCCCCAAAUAAGGCUGUUAAAGUGAACAGCGGAGAUUUUUAUCAUUUUAUUAUUUCACAACAUUUAUAUACUGCUUGACUGUAGUAAAAUCUCAAAGCAGUUUACAAAAAGAAUACAGUGGUACCUCAGGUUACAGACGCUUCAGGUUACAGACUCCGUUAACCCAGAAAUAGUACCCCGGGUUAAGAACUUUGCUUCAGGAUGAGAACAGAAAUCGCAUGGCGGCAGCAGGAGGCCCCAUUAGCUAAAGUGGUACCUCAGGUUAAGAACAGUUUCAGGUUAAGAACAGACCUCCAGAACGAAUUAAGUUCUUAACCCGAGGUACCACUGUAAAACUAUCAGUUUAAAAAAAGAGAGUUAAAAACAAAUGUUGGAUUAGAGAAUUAGAACAUCAUUGUCAAGUUCUAGAAUCCCUGCCAAAAAUUCAAUUGCUAUCAAUCUGCACAGUGAAUAUGGGGACAGACUGAGGGAAGCACCAGGACAAUUAUAUUUGAGUGCUACUUAGAAGAACAGUUGCUUAAGAAGGUAAGUGAUAAAGACAAAAGCAGCUUUUAGAAAUUUCCCAAGCAUAUGAUUCAUGCUACAAGGCAGGAUGUGAAACUGAUAUUUGUGAAAACGAUGGUGUGUUCUCUGUAUCUUGCCUUCACUUACCCUGAGACUUUUCUAGUCUUAAUGCACAUUUCUGUAAUCUUAAGGGGGGUGCCCUUGUUAACUAGGGAUGUGCUGCAAUGUUACUGCAGAGAAUGUCCUUAUUUCAUGCUCCAGUGGGAAGCUAAUGGAAGGCUUGAGUAGACAAUGUUUCCUUGAACAUAUAUGAUCUCCCCUUUUGUAUAUUCAUGGGCACUGGGCUCUGCACUCACUGUUGCCAACUGCAAUUACUAGCAAAAUAGUAUUUUUAACCUACUCAUACAGUUCCUAUUAUUUCAGCUAUUCAUUCAUAUCUAUUUGGAAGGCACAAAUUAUAUGCAGGGAGCAUUGUGGGUUUUUUUGUUCAGUAUCCCAGCUUAUACUUAUUAUAAAUCAUGCCUUGUGCAACUUAAUGGAUGUGAAGAAUAUGAAGGAAGAGGGCUCUGAAAAUGUUUUGUUCGUCAUACGUAGUCUAUAUACAUUUACACACACGUGAGCACAGUACUCACACAUUUCUUUCAUGAAUAAACACCACUCACAUUCUUCAUGCAAACACAUACCAUUUUGACAUUGAUAUUCACUCAUGCUCCUUAGCUCUCAUAUACAUAUGUUGCACAAACCACUGCCUAUCUCCUUUAAAGCCAUGCCAUACCUGGUCAUGGCCCACUCAAAUCAUUUGCCCUGUUUCUUAUAGGUCCUGCCCAAAGGCAAGUGGGCAGGCAGUGGGCAGACCUUGCUAUGGAAGACUCAGUUGCUGCAUUCCCUCUAGACAAAUGGGCUGCUCUACAGGUUCAUCACCUACCUGAUAGCAAUCAUCCCAACUUUUGGUGGGUAAAGCAUUGAGUUGCAUAUUUAGCUUACUAGGUACCCUGCUAAAGGGAUCCUGGAAGCGGUGUCUCAGUCUGGGAGUCCACACAGGGGCUGAUAGCACCCUACCAAGUAGCAACCCUGCUGGGCGCACCCCAAUGUGAUGCAUCACAGGGUGACCCUCUACCCAGGGUUGACCUAACCUCUUAUCAGUCAGCAGGUGGGCUGACUGACACACCUUCCUCUAAGCCUACUUACAUCUGUAAUCAAUAAAAGUUGUGGCUAUUUCAAUCCAAUAUUGAUUCUGUAUAUUAUUUUUAUCUUGGCUGGCCCCACACUGGACUGCGUACUUCCUGCUCUACGGUCCACAAAAAAAUAUCCAAAUAAAAACAUUGAAGGACCACUGAAUUAAAUGAACUGCAUUCAUCAUUCCAGUCUGUUAACAUUCAUCCACUUUUCCAUUUCCAGAAACCAGCAGGUGAAGUAAUCAUAGUGGUCAGUUCCCCCAGGUAAGAACACUUAAUCAUUCACUUAAAAUAGAAUAUAUGGGCAGGUUCUAGCUAAAGGUCCUGCCCUUUAACCAAGCACAUACUUAACUUUCACAGGGUUGUGUACCUAGGCAUGUGAUUAAAAUGUGAUUAAAAACUGCAACAGUUUAAAAAUUCCUAUUAUCUUUUUCCACUUCACUAUCAGAGGAAGUAACUUUUGCCAACACAUAUCAGUCAUCCCAGAAAUUUGGCAGUGAUUCUUUUAUGAAUCCCUCUUAUUUAUUAGAGAAAAAUCCCUUAUGUUACCAAAUGCUAAUUAUACAAAUAACCAGUUUUCACAAUUGUAUUUUCCCCCCAAAGAGUUUGGAAAGAAUGAGAGGUAGGAAUGCGUAUUCAACCUGAAGAUGAACAUUACAAUUCUCAUUUUAAUCCUCCCUCCCACUCUUCUUCCUUCCACCCACCUUGCUAGGCUUCUGCUCUAGCAACAGCUGUAAUGGGAAGAAGAGGUCUCAGUUUCCCCUUUUUCAGUCUCUUUCCCUCCCCAGCAGCUGAAAUGCUACUAGGGAGGUAUAUGCCUGGAAUCCUGGGAGAUGCUGUUUCUCCCCAGUGCCUGAGAAAUGUCAAAUGCCUUGCAGAAAUCACAUCUCCCAGGGUUCACUGUGCAUUCUAUUCUAGUAUAUUCCACAUGCUGAGGAAGAAGGGAGUACAGGCCUCUUUGCCCAUUCACUCCAUUGGCUGGUGUGAGCACUGGAGUUGUGGAAGGAAGAAGAGAAAGCCAGAAGACCCCUAUGGUUAAGAAACCCCUCUCCCCCCCUAACACAAUGGUCACUAACUACUAGAUUUCUUCUCACUUUCCCCCACACAAUGAUCUAACCUCCAAUAACAUCUUCUACAGAAUGCAAGUGACAAGGGCAUGCCUACCCACGAAACUGAGGUGACUGCAGUCUACACCCAAAAAUAAACUUUAAAACAGACAAGUUACAGCUAAUCAAAAUUCAGAUGCUGUCACAACAACUCUGCCUGCUCCUGAUCAAUAAAACAUGAAAUACAGCUCUUUACAUUUGCAUUUUAUUUGAUAGAUUUAUAGAAAAGCAAUGCAAACAGUAACCCUCCUGAUGUGAAAGGAAAACAAGUUUACUGACAUCUAUAUAAAUUAACAUUUAAGUUACUCCACAGGAAGCUCUCCGGCACCCAGACCACUACAGGGAGAAAUACUACAGCAGAGUCUAAAAUAAUUUUGUAGUAGAUGUAAUAGAUGUCAAAGCACUGCUUGACUAGAAAGACAAGUCCACGUUUAACAGCCAUUUUGAAGAAUGAAAUAUAAAAAAGGAACACUAGUGACAAUUUUGCCAAGGCCAGAAGCCUGGAACCUGAUGUUAUAUAUAAAGAGUAGAGAGUUAUAAAUUCUCUCUUCGUACAGUUAAUGUCCUAUUAUUUGCUGACUGAUAUAACUAUUGACAAAUGUACACCUGACAAGCUUCUCAGAGAGUUGAAUACCCUGGGCAAGAGAACUGCAGGGCCCUCCUUUGCCUUCCUUGUCAUACUGCAGGUACAGAGGUGACAUUAGUCACUGCCUCCUUCCCCUGAGAGGAAGUUCAGGUGAACAUACGUGGCCCACAGUUGAGCUGGUCAGCUUUCCCAACAGAAAACUGGAUAUUGCCUCAGUGGCCCUCAUGUCAUUGCACGUACCACUGGGGAAAUCUCUCAUUCUCUUACACUUUGCAGAUGCUUCUAGAAUGAGCUCCCGUUUCCUAGUUGUAUGGGUACACAACAGCGGCGUGAGAAGCAAUUUUCACACACUGCUUCUGAAGCACAUAGAAAGCUUAGCCUGGCCACAGCAUGCAGAACAUGGCAGCAGAUCCGCAUCUCCAAGCAGUUGUGAGGCCCCACUAGUCAAUGGGCCUCAGCAUAUGCCUGACUAUGUCACUUGCUAAUACUAGGCUCGUUACAAGAUUGUCACCUGCAGAGAAUAACCAUCACCACUGCUGAUUUGUUCUUUGUUAACACUUACCUCUGAAUUGUCUGGACUUCACCUAGCACUCUCUCCUCAUUAAGAUGCAGAAUGUUUGAAGACUUAACAGGUGUCAAAUAGAUAUUUGCCAGCCACAGCUAUUAUUCUACAGGGACGAGCUGCUGUUUCAUAAAUACUAAUUAGAGUUUUGCACAGGAUCUUUGCUGGAAUACCUAAGGUGAUGAGUGGCCAGUUGUUACUUUAAAAAGAUUAGCGCAAUUUGAAAACUAAUGUCCCCAAUGAGGCAAUGCUCUUGCUGAAUAAUCAAGAGUUAUAGCUAGCCUACCCAAAGAGAGUGCUUGCCUACUUCAUCAUUUAGAAAAUCUGCUGCUUACUGAACAAGUCACUUUUCCGUUUCACUUUGAAAAGUUGCAAAACCUUGUGGAAUCAGGGGAAUGGCAAUGCAUGUGUGUGCAACGCAUAAAAUUUAAUGUAUUAGAGCCUAUGCAGUAAAACUAAUGGUUUGGAAGAGUGGAGACUAGUAUAUGAAGUUAGGGAGCAACAACAAACACUAAAAUGAACAAGGGGGAAGGAGGGAGUGUUGAAACAAGGCGGAAGAACAAGGGAGGGGAAAUGGGAUAAUAUAAGGGAUGCAUAUUGAAAGCAAUUUUUGGAGUUUGGAGAAGGUAUCUGCUAUUCAGAAAUGUUAGUGCCAUUUAGAAUCAAGCCAAAACUUCCUCCAGAGCACAGGUCUAGUAUGCAAUGAGUUCACUGCCAGCCAUCAUUUCCUGUAGAUCUCCUUUCCCAUCAAAGUUAUAUUUUCAGGAAGGCAGACUGGAAGGUAGGCUAGAUUGUGGCAGAAAAGUUAUUGUAGGCCUAUUCUUAAAUCCUAUGUGUUCCUGAAUAUGCUUAGGAGCAUCCUUUGUCACCAGGUUGUAUGGCAGUUGUAGUUUCUAAUACAUCUCAGCCAAAUGGAAGAACCCCGACCAAACCUAAGAGGAGGCAUGUAGUGGUGAUAGGGGAUUCCCUACUGAGGGGAACAGAAGCAGUGAUCUGUGGGCCUGACAAUAUGUCUCGGGAAGUGUGCUGUCUCCCCGGGGCUAAGAUCCAAGAUGUAACUGAACAACUGCAAGGAGUCAUAAAACCCACUGACAAAUACCCCUUCCUCUUGGUUCCUGUGGGAACCAAUGACACUGCAAGCAAUAGCCUCCAGAAGAUCAAAAGAGACUACGAGGCUCUGGGCAGGAAAUUGAAGCAAUUAAUGCACAAAUUGUCAUCUCAUCUGUCCUCCCAGUUGAACGACGUGGCCCAGGGAGAGAGGGGAAAAUAGUGGAAGUGAACAGCUGGCUUCGCAAAUGGUGUAAACAGGAACAGUUUGGAAUCUUAGAUCACGGACUGCAGUUUCUUGAAGAUGGACUUCUGGCAAGCGAUGGGCUGCACCUCACAACAGUUGGGAGGAAUGUUUUUGCCAAAAAUCUCAGAAACCUCAUCAGGAGGGCUUUAAACUGACUAAUGUGGGGAGGGAGACAGUGCUCCUGAAGGUAGGAGUCUAUCAAUUGAUGAAGAUGAUCAUCCAAAUGUCAUAGACCAAAUGGAGCAAACAGCACGCAGACCUAGUGGUGGGAGGAAAAAAUCCUUAAAUAAGAGACACGGGGGAAUGAUUAAUGGACUUCAAUGUCUGUACACUAAUGCGCAAAGCAUAGGAAAUAAACAAGAUGAGCUUGAACUCUUGGUACAGCAAACUAAAUAUGACAUAAUAGGCAUCACUGAAACCUGGUGGGAUAAGUCCCACGACUGGAAUGUAAUAAUGGAGGGAUACAAUCUAUUUCAGAGAAACAGACCAGACAAGAAAGGAGGAGGAGUGGCGUUAUAUGUCAGAGAUGUGCAUAUGUAAUGGAUUUAGGGGUUGCUCGUGCGUAAGUUGCCGCCACUCCUGGCUAGGUUACCUGGUUAAACCCUUUCUGACUGAACAGCCUCUAGCAUCGUGACUGUCUCAGUCGCUGGCAGAAUCCGUCAGUGGGCAUUUCUUAAACUUCUUCCAGCACAAAAGUUCUUUGAUGCCUAGUCUCCGCCUAGACUCCCUGCACGGAAGCCUUCUGCGCAGGGAGGGUGUGGGCAGCGGAGGACCCGUACUCUCACCGCUGGUCUCCGGCGAGGAGUCCUGGAGCCUCCUCUCCGAUUCCCCCAUCUGCCCCCCUUCUCUACUGGUGUUACGCUGAUUUCCUUCCCCAGCGGACGGGCUGCCUCUCUCCCUACUGGGACCCUCUCCGGCAUCCCUCUGGAGCCUUCCCUCUGCCUCUAGCUCCGAUGGCAGUUCCCUGACAGUAUACCUGUGAAGAGAUCCAAGAUUUAGAACCUCAAAGCCAAAGUGAGAGCAUUUGGGUCAAAAUUAAGGGAGAGAAGAAUAACAGUGACCUCAUUGUGGGAGUUUACUAUAGAUCCCCAAGCCAAACGGAGGACAUAGAUGAUGCCUUCCUGGAACAGAUGGCCAAGCAUGCAAAAGGAAGGGAGAUAGUAGUAAUGGGGGACUUCAAUUACCCGGAUAUUUGUUGGAUGUCAAACUCAGCCAAGAGCAUAAGGUCAAACAGAUUCCUCACUGGCCUUGCAGACAACUUCAUUGUCCAGAAAGCGGGAGAAGCAACAAGAGGAACAGCCAUUUUAGAUCUGGUCCUAACCAAUGUUGAUGACCUGGUUAGUGGGGUAGAAGUGGAAGGAUCAUUAGGCGUGAGUGAUCAUGCUCUUCUGAAGUUUACUAUACAGCGGAAAGGAGCCGGCAAGCAUACUAGGACUCAAUUUCUUGACUUUAAGAAAGCCGACUUCAUAAAACUUAGGGAAGUGCUGGGUGAGAUCCCAUGGACAGUAAUACUAAAAGGAAAGGGAGUUCAUGAUGGCUGGGAGUUUGUUAAGAGGGAGAUAGUAAAAGCACAACUUCAGGCAAUACCAAUGAGACGGAAACAUGGAAGGUGCCUAAAGAAGCCAGGGUGGCUAUCUAAAGAACUUUUAACUGAGUUAAGAUUAAAAAAGGAUGUCUACAAAAAAUGAAAAAGGGGGGAAACCACCAAAGAGUAACUCAAACAAAUAGCCAGCACGUGUAGACACAAAGUCAGAAAAGCUAAAGCACAGAAUGAACUCAGGCUUGCUAGAGAGGUUAAAAGCAACAAAAAAGGCUUUUAUGGGUAUGUUCGUAGCAAAAGGAAGAACAAAGAAACAGUGGGGUCACUCAGAGGAGAAGAUGGUGAAAUGCAAACAGGGGACACAGAAAGGGCUGAACUCCUCAAUGCCUUCUUUGCCUCAGUCUUCUCCGAUAAAGAAAACAAUGCCCGACCUGAAGAAUUUGGAGCAAAUGAUUCAGCAGAGGAAACACAGCCCAGAAUAACUAAGGAGAUAGUACAAGAAUACUUGGCUAGUUUAGAUGUAUUCAAGUCUCCAGGGCCAGAUGAACUGCAUCCAAGAGUAUUAAAAGAACUGACAGAUGUGAUCUCAGAACCACUGGCAGUCAUCUUUGAGAAUUCCUGGAGAACAGGCGAAGUCCCAGCAGACUGGAGGAGGACAAAUGUUGUCCCUAUUUUCAAAAAGGGGUAAAAAGAGGACCCAAAUAAUUACCGCCCAGUCAGUAUUCUGGAGCAGAUCAUUAAGCAAACAGUCUGUGAACACCUAGAAAGGAAUGCUGUGAUCACCAAUAGUCAGCAUGGAUUUCUGAAAAAUAAGUCAUGUCAGACUAACCUGGUCUCGUUUUUUGACAGAAUUACAAGCCUGGUAGAUGAAGGGAACGCAGUGGAUGUAGCCUACCUUGAUUUCAGCAAGGCAUUUGACAAGGUGCCCCAUGAUAUUCUUGUAAAGAAGCUGGUAAAAUGUGGUCUUGACUAUGCUACCACUCAGUGGAUUUGUAACUGGCUGACUGACCGAACCCAAAGGGUGCUCAUCAAUGGUUCCUCUUCAUCCUGGAGAAGAGUGACUAGUGGGAUGCCACAGGGUUCUGUCUUUUUUUUUUUUAUAAUUGAUAUUUUAGGAUACAAAAAACAAAAAUAGUGCAUAAACAAAAAAGAAAAGAAAACCCAGCCGCAAAGAAAGAAAAAAAAAGAGAAACAGAAAAACAAAAAUAUAAAGUCCUUUACAAUCUCUAUUGACUUCCUUUCUAGACUUCCUCCUCCGCCCUCUUUUGUUUCUUAAUUUUUAAUUUUUACAGCAAAUCCUUUCUGUUUUUUCAUAACAAUCUGUCAUUACGUUUCCUUAUUCUAUUUUCCCUCUUGUCAUAUAAAAACUUUAAAACUCAUAGCUUAUAUUCAAUAUUUACCAAAUUCUUGCAUCAUUACCUUUUUACUGAAUCAUUUACCAAUCCUUACUUAAGCCAUGUAAUUUCAUUCAACAUCCUUCAAACAUUUGUAAGCAUUCCCAAUAUUAAAAAAUAAAAAGGAAAAAUUAAUAAGUCAAAUUCAGUCCAGUCAGCUUCCAACCUCCCCUCCCCUGGACCCGGGAUUGUCAGUCCUUUUAGCCUCCCUUAACCUGGUUGUCUCGUAUCCGAGGCCCUCAAGUCUCUUUCUUGCCCCUUUCGCCACUCUUGUUGAUGAUUCCUUUCCAGUCGUGGAUGCUCCAGCAAGAAAAUGCUUUUGACCCUUUGCAGCAAGUCCAUCCCAAACCCAUUGCCCAAGCCAGACAGCAAAUAAUACCACUUCAAAUUUCCACAAAGCUUGGAGACUUUGGCUACUCCAAUCCUCUGAUAGCCCAUCACCAGACUCGGAAGGUCCAAAUAACCAUAUGGAGGGGGGGUCGAUCCAUCCCCCCAUUUCCAAAUCUGACCACAUUUCAUCUUUCCGAAUCUGGUUUGUCCCAAGUUCAUUUAUCAAGUUCAAAGGCUGAUCUUGCCCGUCCAAAGGUCCCUCCAUCUCUGAAGCCUCCGUCACUACAGCAGGUUCAUAUGCUUGUAUAGCCUUUAACUGAAUUUCAUUUGUUUGCUGCUGUGCUCUAGUAACUUCCAUCCUCAAGGUCGUCUCCUGACGCAUCUGGUCCAGCUGGGCACUUAGUUUUGAAAAACCUUCCAGGAACAAUUGUUCAAGCCUUUGUACUAGCAUUGUCCUUCAAGGUCAAAGAAAAUUCUUUCCCACGAGAGUAGUCCAAUAGUCCUUCUGCGUUGCAAUUUCACUAAAUUCCACUAGAUGGAAUUUUUUUUUUUUUUUAAAGGAAUAAAAGCAACAGCAACAAUCUUUCUUUUUCCAGAAACACUUUAUCCUAAAUUCCCCCUUCCAAAUUCAAGAGGCAACAGUAGAAUCAAAAUGUUACCCUUCUUUUAACUAACUGUCGAGCUGGAUAAACUUCAGAACGUCAAUUCUGACAGCCCGCUCCUGGUUCAGGGCGGUGGAAAAUUGCUUUAUUUUAAACUCACUUCCGCAGGAUUGAAAAGUCCAAAUACAACCCCCUUUUUCUCCUGCUGUCAAAGGGGGUUCAGAAAUCUUAGAUGUUGAAUUCUAGUUCUCUUAAAAUUUAAUUUUCAGGCUUUAGUAUAUUUUGUCUUUGCUUUCUUCACAUAACAAAAGAACGGAAGGCGACUUCCUGUUUAGACCUUCCCAUUCCGAGUCCCAAUUAAGUUCAAUUUCAAGUCCAAUAUUAUUUGUUUAUUCACCAGUCUUAAAAGUGGUUCAGCUCUUCUAAGAUCAGGUACUCACGGAUAGAUGUUUUAGAUGCCAAAUUGUCCAGGAAAAAGGCAGCGCUCUCCGAUAACGGCAGUGCGGCUUUGCUGCACAGAGGAAGCAGACGACUCACAGCACCACGCACCUCCCACUCCGGAGCCCGUUACCGGGCUCCUGUACAAGGGGAGAGCGCUCUCGGUGCCCGCCGAGUCCCACGUCCACAGGCUUCUUCCGCCUGUGGUUUUUGCGGGUCCCCGCUGCGCCGUAGCGGCAGGACCCAAGCCUCCGUGCAGCGGGUUCCCUUCAGUCCGAAGGGAAUUCCGCCAUUUUCCGGAGGCGCCACCCCGGAAGUCUCGCCACAGGGUGCUGUCUUGAGCCCGGUCUUAUUCAACAUCUUUAUCAACGACUUGGAUGACGGACUCAAGGGCAUCCUGAUCAAAUUUGCAGAUGACACCAAACUGGGAGGGGUGGCUAACACCCCAGAGGACAGGAUCACACUUCAAAAUGACCUUGACAGAUUAGAGAACUGGGCAAAAACAAACAAGAUGAAUUUUAACAGGGAGAAAUGUAAAGUAUUGCACUUGGGCAAAAAAAAUGAGAGGCACAAAUACAAGAUGGGUGACACCUGGCUUGAGAGCAGUACAUGUGAAAAGGAUCUAGGAGUCUUGGUUGACCACAAACUUGACAUGAGCCAACAGUGUGACGCGGCAGCUAAAAAGCCAAUGCAAUUCUGGGCUGCAUCAAUAGGAGUAUAGCAUCUAGAUCAAGGGAAGUAAUAGUGCCACUGUAUUCUGCUCUGGUCAGACCUCACCUGGAGUACUGUGUCCAGUUCUGGGCACCACAGUUCAAGAAGGACACUGACAAACUGGAACGUGUCCAGAGGAGGGCAACCAAAAUGGUCAAAGGCCUGGAAACGAUGCCUUAUGAGGAACGGCUAAGGGAGCUGGGCAUGUUUAGCCUGGAGAAGAGGAGGUUAAGGGGUGAUAUGAUAGCCAUGUUCAAAUAUAUAAAAGGAUGUCACAUAGAGGAGGGAGAAAGGUUGUUUUCUGCUGCUCCAGAGAAGCGGACACGGAGCAAUGGAUCCAAACUACAAGAAAGAAGAUUCCACCUAAACAUUAGGAAGAACUUCCUGGCAGUAAGAGCUGUUCAACAGUGGAAUUUGCUGCCAAGGAGUGUGGUGGAGUCUCCUUCUUUGGAGGUCUUUAAGCAGAGGCUUGACAACCAUAUGUCGGGGUGCUCUGAUGGUGUUUCCUGCUUGGCAGGGGGUUGGACUUGAUGGCCCUUGUGGUCUCUUCCAACUCUAUGAUUCUAUGAUUCUAUGAAAUGAAUUGGGCUGGUGGUUUAAGAAACUAAAAUUUUGAAUCCUAUGCAUUGCAAGUGCAAAAAGAUGCUCCUGAACAUGCUCAGGAAUAUCUAAUUUUUCUUCCUCUGGCCAACCCUCCUGUUGGAGGACCUACUGGGACUUAAGCUAGAUCUGUGUGUAGCUUCCUCAAGAGAUGAGCCAUCAAAUUCAGCAUCUACCUAGGCAGCAAAGUGCCCUCAAGCCCUGAACUGUCUGGCGAGGCUGGCCAUUGGAUUCUUCUGGACAGGAAGGAAUAUAUGACAGUUCUAGUUGAGCCUUGCCUGAGCAACACUGUUAUCCUGUAUUCUUUGGGCCCUUUGAUUCUGCCUCCUGGUUUGUCCAUUGGUCCUAGCCUCCGACUUUCUCCUUGCUGCUACUUACACCUUGGUCCUGACUAUUGGCUCUGUCUCUUGACUCUGAUCUUCUGGUGCAGCUCCUGGUUCCCAGCUCGUUUCUUACUGCCAUCUCUCUCAUCUCUGUACAAUCAACCCCCUGCCCCGCACUCCACACAAUGGUAUGCUUCCUUGGGUGGAAGAUGGCAGAAGAAGUUAGGCUCAAGCUCUCGCCCAUCAACGCCUUCCAAGCAUUCUCAGGGAACUUGUGUGAAAGUCCCCACCUUCUUCUGAAAAUUCUCUUGAGAAAGCUCAGACAAGCCAAACUACUUAGGUGAGUCGGGAAAACCACACCCAACAGUAACUAGCAGUGGCAGCAAAUGUGAACACUGUUGAUUCAGAAUGUGUCUCUGCCCAAUUCAUACAGAAAGCAUUGAAAAUUACAUGUUGCACACAUCCUAGUAGGAACUAAUGAUCCUAAGCAAGCUCAGGAGCAACCUGGCUAGUUAAAAAGAGAACUAUUAAGACAUUUCCUAUCUUCAGCAAAUUCUCUCCACCCCCAGAUUCAGGUAGGUAGUCGUGUUGGUCUGAUGCAGUCAAAAUAAAAAAUUAAAAAAUAGUCCAGUAACACCUUAGAGACCAACUAAGUUUGUUCUGGGUACAGUGGUACCUUGGGUUACAGAUGCUUCAGGUUACAGACUCCGCUAACCCAGAAAUAGUACCUCGGGUUAAGAACUUUGCUUCAGGAUGAGAACAGAAAUCGUGCUCCGGCGGCGCAGCAGCAGCAGGAGGCCCCAUUGGCUAAAAUGGUACCUCGGGUUAAGAACAGUUUCAGGUUAAGAACGGACCUCCAGAAUGAAUUAAGUUCUUAACCCGAGGUACCACUGUAUAAGCUUUCGUGUGCAUGCACACUUCUUCAGAAGUGCUACUGGACUAUUCUUUAAUUUUUUAUCUCCACUCCCAGUUCUCAACUCAUUUGCAAAACAAGCUUGCUUGGGAAGUAUGGAGAUGGCAUAGAGGACUGGGGCUGAUCUCUAGCUUUCUUUUUUUAAAAAAAUUAAGUACUGUAAGACCCUAACAGUUUUUUGAUAAUUUUCCUAGAAAGAACAAGGGAGUGCCUUCUAUGGUAAGCUAGUGUGAGCUCACACAUCACUGAUAAGGGCAGUAUACACAGGUCUAUUGUAUCAACUCACAAAAGAGAUCCACAAAAGCAUAAACACAUUUCCCAAAAAAACAUAUUCACAUCUUUAAAAAGGAAAAAUAAGAGUUUGUUGACAAUUGUAAGAGGAAUCAUCAAGAAAAAAAGACCUGAGGUUUUGCCAUUUAAUGAGCAAGUCAUUUUGAUCAAUUUAAUCUGACAAGUUACAUCACAUCUCAUUGGUUUAAAUUAGCAUCUUUCCCGUUUCAUUGUGUCUUUCUUAUCUGCUGUGAAAUGCAACCAAUAUAGCUUGAUAUGACACAACACUAUGUUACUUCACAGAAGUUGUGGUUUAGUGCCAUGAGUUCUGACUGACAUAAUUGACAUAAAACCCCUAACAAUGAGUUUUCAGAAUAUAUAUGAUGCCAUCUGAUAACAUACAAUGAUAUUUAGUAUUUGUCACUUAGCGGCUUGCAAUAUAUUUGAUAUAUUACUAACAAUAGAUGCCAACAAGUCAAACAGCUUGAGCCUGUGCUUCUCAUAUACAACCUCCGCACAAGCAACCAGCAACCACAAGGAGACCACAGAAGUUCCUGGGGCUGUCAUGUCCCCGGUUGGUCUAAGAAGGACUCUGAUACAGAUGUUACAGCAGUCACCCCAACUCAAGGGAGCCCCUCAACCUGAUGGGAGUCUUUUGACAUGGCUCUUCCAUCUGCCUCAGAAUCUGAGGACGAUUCCACUGUACCUUUUCAUUCUCCAGAACCACACAGGAAACUGCAACUGUAGAAUAGGUUACAGUACAGACUCUUUAAAUCAGAGGUUUCCAAACUGUGUGUGUCGGCUGCAGUGUGUAGGUGUGUCUCACAAAUGCUCCCCACCCUCCCACCGGGGCUGGAAAGGAGUUUGCUUAACCUCCAGUUUGCUAGUAAAACUGAAUUACUCUGUCGUGAAAUGAUGCAUGUAUAAAAAGUGUGUCGCCAACAUUACAAGUUUGGAAAGUGCUGCUUUAAAUAUUGCAGACAGCUCUCCCAGAGGCAGGGGUGCCAACCUGAAUUUUGGAGUAAGGAGUGCAGAUAAGCCCUGCCCCACAUAACUGAUCACAUUAUGUGGCGCAUGCACACCAUUUGAAUGGCAAUGCCCAUCAACUUUUGGGGAGGUCCAGCCCCCUUAAAUAUUUUAUUGGGGAAGAUGAAAACCCCUCAGCCCCUAGGAGUUGGCUCCUAUGCCUAGAGGAGUGGAACCACUGGAAGCUCAAUGUUUUUAUCGUAAUAGUGUGUCUUUAGUCUGUAUGCCCCCUUGUGAUGUUUAUAUGAAAGUGUGGCUUUAAAAUAUUUUAUGUAAGUAAAUAAUAACAUAAUUCUAGAUGCUUUAAUCUACUUCUAAAAUGUAUCUUAUAUUCCAUGACUGUUGAAGUGUAGGGGCAUUAGUUAUGCUCCAACCAUUUCCAGACAAAUCUAGGAAAAUGGCCAUACCCCUUUCCAUAUAGGAAAUAAAAUAAAUUCUGCACAUGGCAUCUAUAGACAGAUUACAGUCAACGUAGCUGCCAAAUGAAGCUAUGCCAUUCUGUGUGCAUGCAGAAAUAGCUUUAUUUAUUUGAGUGGUACCCCUUCUGCCUUUUAUUUUUAUUUUCCCCUGCAGUAUUUGAUACUUGUCACUGUCUGAUGAAAUUGUAACUGGUCUGAUUUAGUCAGCUUGUUUGUAUAUAGUGGGAAAGAUGCCUGAAGGCAAAGAAGAAGAACAAGGGAAAGUUCCUUCUCGGGAGCACAGCAAUCUUUGUUUUAAUGUACAUAUGAACAACAAUUUGAAACACUGAAAUAUUUAAGUUACUGAAGAAUAUGUGCAAGAAUAUCCCUUAAAACAACAGAAAAGUCUGUAUAUUUGUAGGCAUAUUUUACACAGAUUUUUACAGAUUGAUGUUUCAAUGUGAAACCACAUCAGGGGAAUAAUGAAGAGGAAAUCAGUGGUACUUAAUUAACAGCAAAAAUUAGAAAUUAAUUCUGUAAAUAGAAAGAUCCAGAAGGUGCUUGGUGUACUUGAUGUAUUUGGCUUGAAACUGUUACAAAUAAGAUUUUGGGGAACAGAAUGGAUGAGAGAACAAUAAUAGUUCAUCUGCCUGCAUAUGUGGUACUUUAUGGGUUUUACUCCAUCCAAAAUUAGUAGUUUCAUAGUUCUAAGAGGAUAAUUUACAAAGGAAAUCUUUGCUAGCAAGAUCUCAGCAUCUAAAAUCCCAAUUAAUUGGGCUCUUCUUGGGUGGCAUGAAGUAAAACAAAAACAAGGCAGCCUGAUCUUAUCUAGCUUUCCAUGCUUGUUCUGCUGUGUCUAACCUCUCAAAUGCCUCCUCCACAUUUAUCAGGUAAAUUGUAUACACAUAUCUUACUAUAAGAGACUACUGGUGAAAAUUUGCAACAACCUUUACCAGCAAAGCAUCCAACUGAGUCAACUGCCAAAUAAUAUGCAAAAAUGCAAAGGAAUAUUGUUUAUUGUCUCUGACUCUGGUAUGGGCUGUAUAACUACCCUCCUAUGCCAAAGCUGCCACUCACAAGGUUAAGCCAUAAUAUAAAAACAACUAGCCUCUGUUGUGGAGAGAGAAAUAGCACAAUAGCUGAAGUAUAUACAAAGAAAACAAAGAUUAUCCAAGUUUAACCAAAUAAAACAAAGAGCAGCAGUUCCAAGAUAUAUUGUGGGCAAAGCUUUUUCCAAAACCACAAUUAUUAACUGGUGUGGUAACUUACCAUUUCGGCCUGCUUGUGGAUUUCACCAUUGGAGCCAUUCCAUCCCGAUAGAGGCUUUUUGUUUUACUGAAGUUUACAAUGUUGAAAAUGACUCUCUGAAAGACACAAGGUGAGGGAGAAUCUCAGUUGUUUAUUAAAUAUAUUUCACAUAGAUCACCAAUGUUAGAGCUGUGUAACCAGAUACCAAAUUUUGAAAUAUAAACAAGACAAUAAUUUUAAAAAUCCUUCAGGGGCAUGUAGAAUGCUUUUGCUUAUAUAUUUAAUUUUCCCAGUAUUCUCGUUGCAUGGCUGAAAGUUGCUAAUUGUAUUCUACUGGUAAUCAUUCCAGUUGGGAAAAGAAAGAGAAAAGAAAACGGGAAGACAAGAAAGGAGAUAUGAGCAAAUGUGCAAAAAAAGAGAACAUUUAUUAUUACUCGGCCUCUAGUGUAUUCCUUGCCAGAAACAAGAUAUGAAAGAAAACCCAUGGGAAUAUGUUUUGAACCUACCCCAAAACCAAAACACCAGGUGUUUUUUUUUGGGGGGGGGGAGUCUUUCCUACCUAAUAAGACACCACAGGCUAUGUUAGGCACAGUGUGACAUUCCAGUUAAAAAACAAAUCGUAACAGUGUAUUUGUGGAACACCUGAACCAGAUUAAGAACUGGCUAAUGAAUUUGAGAAAGUAGCCAUUAGUGGAAAUAGUUUCUAAUUUAAAAAGUAAGCAAUUUCUUAAUAUUUAAUAAUAAAUGGUAAAUUUUAUCACCUUGCACUCUGAAAUCACCAGAUGGGGCCUGGAUGAAUCUCCUGACACCAGGGGUGGUGAACUUCCAGCCCAUGGGCCUAAUUAGGCCCACCAGGCCAUUUUGGCCAAACCAUGGCCAUUUGCCUUACACCUGAUGGCAUAGAUAUUGUGUCAGGUGUGCUGGUUCUAACCAGAAGAUGAAGAAUAUGAAGUAUGGUUUCUGCCAAAAUCUUUAAUGCUCAAACCAAUAUACUAUGUAGGUCAAAUAAGUUUCAAAGACACAGCAGGGUAUAUCCACAGAUAAGUCAACUAGGACAUUAAUCCAACAAGCACUCCCUUGGGUAGUCAGGGGAAAUGACUGAAGGAAGUUCAAAAACAUAAGUCUUGUAAGGACUUGGAUUCUUAAGUGGGUUACCUGAGACAAAGGUGAUUAAGCUGAGGCUGAAGCUAGGGGAGGGGCAGGAUUCUUUAAGACAUAAGGUUUAUGGAGGUAAGACAAUAUAAAUUUCCCACCACAGGAUGACUAGACAGUCUUGGAGAGCAAAAGUGAGGAUUGCGUGAGCCAAUAAGGAGAAAGUGUCCCAAGUCCAUUCCAUAUUUAUGAGUGACAAGGCUGUCUCAUGUGCAGAAUGGGGAGGGGCACCCUUAAAAAAUGUAAAUGAGCACUCUGAUUAGAUUACCAAUGGGCAGUGCCAACUGGAAGGCUUUUGUCUUUCAUGUCAGCAGUUGGCAAAUACAGUGGUACCUCGGAUUACAUACGCUUCAGGUUACAGACUCCGCUAACCCAGAAAUAUUACCUCGGGUUAAGAACUUUGCUUCAGGAUGAGAACAGAAAUCAUGCAGCGGCGGCCCAGCGGCAGCAGGAGGCCCCAUUAACUAAAGUGGUGCUUCAGGUUAAGAACAGUUUCAGGUUAAGAACAGAUCUCCAGAACAAAUUAAGUUCUUAACCUGAGGUUCCACUGUAGGUUAGAAUUAAAUGAUACUCUCCAACAUUUGACUGAACAAAUUCGGGGCGAGCAGGAGUCAGUUGACUCAUGUUUCCUCCUCACAGCUUUCUCCUGUGCAUGGGGACGUUACUAUCUCCCUCUCUACAAGCCUACUAGCAGUUACUGCUUCCCCCAUCUUGCCCUCUUACUCCCACACUAACUGCCACCCAGUUUCAAUCCUCGGCCUUUUCCUUGAAACGCAUGUGACUUCAAAGACUCCUACAGUCAACCAUAGAGUCCUACAGUCAACCAUGGAGAGGAGAGGGAAAAACAAGAGCGUAUCCCUUGAGCUCUGUAGCUCUAUACUUAAUCAAGGAGAAUCUCCCCGUGCUUUCAGGGUAGAUGUGUGAUUAUUUCGAAGCACCUCAAUGCUUUUCAGAAAAUUCCUCUCUCCCUUGCUUCCUUUGGUAAUCCAAAACAAAAUGAUCAGAUUUCCAUUUUAUCUAUGGCCCAUGGAGAAUAUGCUAAAUGCCAACAACUGUCUCAAGCUAUGUAUAAGAAAAAAACCAGGAAGCGCACUCUUUCCCCAAAGUUUAUUCUAGUCCAUUUCUAAUAAGGCUCAAGGUGAAGGGGCUAUGUUGGCAUUGUCAGUAAAGCAAAGCAACAUUCAUUUGUGGCCUCAGGAGAGGGAAGAGGAGAGACCAACAGGGCAGGAAGCUUGAGGGCUCUGCAGGGUGCUAGAAUCCAACCUUCUCCAUCCCAAAGGUUAUUAAGCAUUAAUGAGGCUUUGGGAAUAAACCCUCAUGCUGCCUUCCGAUGCUGCUGUCGCAGCCGAAAAGUGGGGUGCCCCAAAUCCAAAAUAAAACCCUGGGGCACCUGACCGAAAACAGGGACUGCCAAUAGGGCAAAAUUGGGGCUCUUCAGGGUCUGUUGAAUUAAGUAUUCACAUACACCUGGAAUUCUUGCUCCACCUUCCCAAGUGGACAAGUUUGUUUACUGCUGAUGGGGAUAGCCAGUAUAUAUACCCAGAUGAUGUUAGACUGCAACUCCCAAUCAGUUUCAUCCAGCAUGUCAAAUGGUUAGGGAUACUAGAAGUCCAACAUCAUAGGAGGGCCACAGGUUCCCCAUGGCUGAUGUAUGUACUAAUUAUGUACUUACUAACUAAUUGUGGUUUUCAGUUUGCUAUGUUCAAGCUGACUUUUUAAUGGGCAGGAUGUCCAUGUAGUACAAUUGCUGUGUUUCUGCUGUUUACAUUCCCAAAAUAGAAAUAUGGCAGUUUGUGAUAUUAAUAUUCAAUAGUAAAAAUGUGUUCAUUCCAAACUGUAAAAUAGAAGCAUUUUAAAUAAAAUAGAAGCUGUUUAAUUUGACCUCUGUUUAUAAAACCAAAUUAAGCUGGAGCAAAUUGGUUAAUUAAACCUGAUGUUCUUGGUGAAUAAUCUAAACUAACAAAGUGCCUCUAUUACUUUAAUGCAAUUAUGCUGAGGUUGGCAUGAAGGUACUUUCUAAUUCUACGAAGUGGAUAAUGACUAACACAGGACAGGUGGCAGACACUAAGAAUGGUCUCAUCCCAACCAAGUGGGUGCCCACACAUCUCUGCUACUUGUUUUGGGUAAAUUUAAAGAACUAGGUUAAGCAGUGAAUUUAUAAAUAUUUGAAAAAGUAUAAUUAUACAGCUUCAACCCCUUUCUCUUAAAGUGCAGUUAGCAAGCAGUUUCAGUCCUUUCAGGAAGCUAUGCUACCUAAAAUCAUUUCAUAGCAGUGAUUAACUUUAUCAAACUAUGCCCCUAGUCUAAUGUAACAUAUAAACCCCAGGUUUAAAAUUAAAAUAGGGAGCUUUGGCAUAUUAUUAGUACAUGUAAAACUCUACUAGAUAGCCUACCAAGUGAAGUAUAUAAAAUGUAAUAAUGUCAAUACACACCUUAACAGAAACAGAAAAUAUGCAGCUUGCUCACUAAAGUAUACAAAUAUAUCCUGAAGUGAAAUAGUGUAAUACAAGUUUGUGAUACAGUAAGGAAACAUUUGCUGACAUUAAUAAAAUAAAUAGCUGCUAGAUUUGACACACACACCCCUUUUGCAGGCAAUUUAAAUAUUCCUGCUGGCUUUACGUAAGCGCUUUUUCCUUCUUUACACAUUUUUUGGUUAAUUGUGACAGUCUGAUACUAAAUCAUGCAAUACAAAGUUGGCAUUUAUUUCAGCAAUGCAAUACUUGCAUCAUAUUGGUGAUACUAACCAGCAUAACAACAACAACAACAACAACAACAACAACAACAACAAUGACCCACCCAUUGAAUUGGGUUGCCCCAGUCACUCUGGGCAACUUCCAACAUAUAUAAAAACAUAAUGAAACAUGUCUCAAACUUCCUGAAUUAACCCCCCUCCCCCAUACCAACAACUACUUACCCUAUCUUCCAGGAUAAGCACCACCAUCCCAUUCCAACCAGUGACAAGCAGUGUAGAUAGUGUUUUAUGUGCUACAUUAUUUCAUGUUAUUUCAUGUUUGAGGGCAGAGGGACGUUAAAGCCCUUUGAUUUCAGGUGUGGGGAACCUUUGGCCCUCAGAAUGUUGCUGAACUACAUCUCCCAUCAUCCUCAGUCAUUAGUCAUGCUGACUAAGGCAGAUGGGAGUUGUAGUUCUGCAACAUCUGGAGGACCAAUGGUUCUCUCACCCUAUUCUGCAUGAAUUAGCAUUGAUUCCCCAGGGUUUAAGAAAGGAGUGUUCUCCAGUCUUGUUUGGAUAUGCUGGGGAUUAGGAACUUCAGUGUGAAAAGCAAAUGCUCUACAACUGAGCUAUUAACUUAAUUCUGUAUGUGUUAAAUUUCAUGUGAACAUUUGUCAAAGGUAGAUAAUACAAUUUUUAUACAGCCUGCAACUAGGCACAUUUCACUUGGAUGCAUUUGGAUUUAUGACCUUCACAAUUAAAAAAAGAAAAUGGAAAGGGGGCAGAUGUCCACGAAAAAUGACGUUGGCAAUCUUACCCACCAUUAACCAAUGUGCUUUGACUAUACAUAAUUUUGGCUUUAGGCAUGAUCCCUGGAAUAUAACCCCCACAUAGGUUAUGGGCUUACUGUACUUUCUGGGUGUUCAAACCAUGGUGCCUACUAAUAACAACAGCCACUAACCAAUUUUUGUCCCACUUGUGACUGUGCAAAUAAAUCAAACUUCUGUACAAACCUGCCAAGAAAGACUGGUAAACAUUACAUCUUUCAGUUUUAGUUCAGCCAGCAAUAUUUAGUUUUAAAUAUCCAGUUGAAUCACUCCUUUCACAUAAUACAUAACUGCUGCUUCUUUUUUGAAAAAAUUAAAUAUUUAUGGCAUUUAGUCCUCCCCUACCAGUUAACAAAUAUUUAAAGCCUGUCUGCUGUCAGGGCAAGAAAAUUCAUUCCCACCUGUGGAGGGAACUGUACAGAGCCCUAGCUGAUUUGUUAAUCAGGAGCACCUGUGCCUUGUUAUGUUUAAGUUGUCAAAGCAUAGGUAGCUACUGAACUCAUUUAAAAUGGCAAUGAAGAGGAGAGCUUACAUAUUUGCAUGCUUUCGCCCACUUCUUGGACUUCCUAUUAAAGAUGCUUUAAGAGGAGAAAAAAACCCAAAAAUAAGACAGAGAAGAAUGACUGUAUUUAGCUGAAUACAUUAUAACGUAAACAUGGCAAAAAGCAACUAUCUUUCCUUUAACAAAAUAUAGCCAGAUGGUUGUUUUUGUGCAUUCUUGUGAAUAAACUUUUGACAAUUCGUAUUUGGAAAUGAUUAUUUUGUUCUGGCAAUAAUUGCAAGAUAGUUGGUAUAAAAUCCAUGUGUGGUUUGUUUUGGUUUAUAACUUUUAAAUUCCACAAUGCACAUUCCGUACCUUGGUAGUAGUCUUUGCAACAAAGUAUUUUAAGUAUGGUCAUGCAUUAAACUUCUCAGUUUCCACAUAAUUAGAGAAGCUAUCCAUGUUUAGGCAUCCAUGUUCUUUUCAAUCACUAUUAUGGCUGCAGGUGGGUGGUAACAGCUGGCUGCUUUAGAAGUUUACUUGCAAAAUCUGCUGAUAUCUUAAUCCUCAAGAGAAGGCAGCUGAGUGAUUCAAGUUUCCAUUCUUAAGGGUAAGCAUUAUUAUGCAGAAAGAAGCAACACUAUGAAGUUUAGCAAGAAAUUACCGCAGAUUCAGGAAUGUUAACAUUGCAAUUGAAACUGUAUACUGGGUAGGGUUCCAUGAUUCACUUUCCAUGGGACAGAACUUCUGUUGCAUUAACUGUUGUACGGACAGAAUGUUUCAUCACGGGCAUUUUCCCCCUCUUUAUAAUAUUGCUUUAAUAUGUCUUUGAUGAAUUUCUCCUUCCUUCACAAUAACCAGCAUCAUGGGAGUCCUGUUCCAAAAGUAUUAGGAAAAAUAAUGUGCUGCUAAUACGUGACAAUAUCUACGUGUGCAGUGCCACUGUGUGCAGAGAUACAACAAAGGAAGUCCAGAUCAAUUUUGUGCACAAAAACAGAGUUUUCAAUGCAUGGACAGGAGUCACCUAACCAGCCCUGUCAAUGGAAGCCGUGUGCAAGGCUUUCUCCUUGUGCAGUGGGGCUUUAACCCUGGCACCCCAACCCUGAAAUAGGCUAGGGAGUGGGGUCAGGAGAACCUCCAGAACACUGUGCUGUAGGAGGAGAGGGGGGGAUUGUUCCAUAAGGCAAUCUGUAGUGCUUCUUCACAUGAAGUUAUUGGAACAGUGUGAUAAUGAAUGUCAUCCUAUGCAAUUUUGGCCUUACCACACUCUAGCUACAGGACCUUCAUUUGCAAACUGAAAAUCCAUGGCCUACAGAGAAUUUGUAGUAGUCUAACCUUGUUUCUUAUAAUAAUCUGAUGCAAUAAAAACUGCCAAACCCUUUGAAUUCUUCACAACUGUUCUCUUGUUACAAUUGAGUGACAACACUGUAACAGCAGUCUCUCUAUUUACUUUUUAUCAGUCAAGGUUUCACAGUUUUGGUCUUUUUACCAAUGAAGCAAUGCUUUUAUGGUAGGUUACCAGAUGUGAUAUGUCAAGCAUAGGCAUCCUCGGCCCUCCAGAUGUUUUGGGACUGCAAUUCCCAUCAUCCCUGACCACUGGUCCCGUUAGCUAAGGAUCAUGGGAGUUGUAGUCCCAAAACAUCUGGAGGGCCGAGGUUGCCUAUGCCUGUGAUAUGUAAAUCAAAGUAUGGAAAUAGAAUCUGACAAUGCCCAAUUGUGUCUGUGACGUGGUCAGUGUGUGCUACAAAAUUAGUCAUUUGUGCGUCUACCUGUGUUGUGUGAAAAUAAUUGGGCUGCCAGCCUUGGAGCUUACACGUAUUUUUCAGUUAAUGUUUUGUGGUCCCUUAGACAUAGUGACCCCUUCAUGGAUCCCUGCCUUGUUGUGGCGAAGGGGCUUGAAUAAUUCAGAGAAGCUAUGAGCUAUGCCGUGCAGGGCCACCCAAGACGGACAAGUCAUAGCUGAGAGUUUAGACUAAAUGUGAUCCAUCUGGAGAAGGAACUGGCAAAUCACUCCAGUAUUCUGCCAAGAAAACUCCAUGGACAUAAAAAAGGAGAAGCUUUGAGAAGAAAGUGAGAAUUUCCAAGGCAUGCUCUGGUUCAUGGGGUCACGGAGAGUCGAACACGACUAAGAUGACUAUACUACAACAACAAGACAUAGUGAUGAGAAUAGAUUUGCUCUUAUGGUUCCUGUUUCCUCAUUCUAUCUCCUACUGUUUCCCCAUUAGACUAGUGAAAGCCUUUUUGCAAUGAAAUUGCAGCCUCCUUAGUCAUCAUGCAACACCAAGAUUUGCAACAUGGCACUAAUGCUAUGGCCCUUGUAUUUGAUCCUAUCUACUUUUUGCCCUGAUCAUAUGAGCAGGCUAUAACUUUGACUCUCUACAUCCUCUGGUUUUUCACAUCUCCUUCUAUAAGAUGCAUCUCAGAAGGCAGAUAUAUAAUGGUUGUGUGGUCUUAAAACAAUGAAUGCCAAAAUAGUAUGUUUCUUCAAUUAUCAAUGUGUAUAUAAUUCUCCCAGCUAGGCUAUCCCUUUAGAAAUCUGAUGCUGUAGGCUCUAUCUCAAAAAAGCUUAUGCCAUCAUAAAUGUGUUAGCUUUUAAGGUGCCAACGGACACUUCGUUGCAUGACUGUUGAGAAACUGAGCAAUACAUAGUGUAAUGUUGAAAGAAGGAAGUAGGAAGACUUGAUACAUAAGGAAGGAACAAAAAAUUAUUACUAUAUUGCCGAAUGUAGGGAAAACAGAUGGUCUCCAGAAAAGCAAAUUAGCUAAAUUACUGGUAGCAUCACAGGGAUUAUGUCUUUCUGUUAAAAAAAAGAAAAGAAAUAAGAGAUUCUCCAAUAAUUAAACACAGAUUGGGUUUAAUUCAGCGGUAGCCAUUUUGUUGGUGAUAUUUUGUAGUAGUUUGAAUGGCUUUUAUUGCUAUUACAAGGUUAAUCACAGGCUUUGCUAUUCAAGUUUAGGUCUCUCGUAAUCUUUCAUACUACAGAAUAGUAAAAAAAGUAAGAUUUAAUUUCAAAUUUCAUUGAUAAUGGUAGUGGAACAAUGCAGGUUUGUUGUUGUAUAGCAUUACUAUUCUAAUAUCAGAAAACUAGUUUCAGUUGUAAGAUCAACAACAAAAUUGAAAGGUUUUCAUUGUUGUUGAUUUGCCAACAUUGGUGAUUUCUGGCCCCACACAUUCAGCUGGACACAGCCUGGACUAGGUUUUUGGUGCUGGAUAGGAUAAGGGUAAUCUAGAUACAGGCUUAGAUACAGUUCUGUUUUCAUGGACAGAUGGUUAUCCAGUCAGAAUUAGGAUCACUGGCAUACCAAAACUUUGCAGGGGAUCUGUUCUGAUGGCUCCACCCAAAAGACUAAAGGAUCAGAAUGUUUUUCUGAUUGUUCUUGCGGAUUUCCCUAUCACACCAGCUGCUGAUCCUGUCAAACCUGCGGUCGACUUCUGGAACAGAGAAAUAGCCAGGGACAUUUACAUGAUUGCUCCUGAACAUUCUCUCCAUGGAAGUGGAGCUCAGCCAAGUUAAUUAUUAUGUGAUUUGAGGAAUGCUGGCAAAGAAAUGACAGGGAAGAGUACUCAAGUGAUAAUGGCAGAUUUGUGACAAAUAUGGUCGAACACAAGCUAUAGCUUAUCACAGACCUUUAUCUGGGGCAAUGGUGGUGGCAAAAUAAAAAUAAAAAACCCUCCCACCACAACAUCCACUCCAUGUCACCCUCAGAAAGGGUGUUAUGCUGAUAGACACUCGGCUACCCUGCCUGUCUGUCUCUGUAGUCCUCGCUCCCAUUGAUAGUAGCAGGUUCCAUCUGCUUUGUUAAUUGGAGACAAAAAUGCUGGUAAUAAAUGGUGAUAUUGAAGCUGGUGUCAUCAAGCAACAGUUUUUUAUCUGCAUAAUUGUGGUAUUAAUUAGCUGGUUAGUUUCCUAUGACCAGGCAUUUGUACAGCCGUCCUGAUUUUUAAAGAAAAAAGAGUACCUGUUCUUCCCCUGUACUCCUCUCACCAGGCAGCAGGAAAGGAACCAAUGCAGCCUGUCCAUUUGCUUAAGCAGGGGGCAGUGGGUGAGCAAACGGCUAAGGGAAUUAUUAUUAUUAUUAUUAUUAUUAUUAUUAUUAUUAUGCCCUCUCACGGUCAAUGUGUAGCAAAAGAUUUAUCCCCUUUCACAUUUGGUAUUUAAAUAGGGUAAAACAUAUACCAUAUGACCAGAAUUCCUAAAUAUGAGAAGCUUCACACAUUCAUUUUCACACCUGUGAUACCCAAGUUCAUACCAAAUUGCUUUUGACGAUGUAUUCUUACAUCCCUGUUUUCUAUAUUUUCUGAUGAAAGGAGGCAUUGCAACGAUAGGUACUGAUUGAUGCUCAACUUGACUACUAAUUUGCUUCCAAAGUAAACUGGCAAGUGAAGCUGACAUAUUCAGAACUCCUAAGCACCAAAUGAUGCUAUUAUACCAGUUGUAAUUUGAAUAUUAAUGUAGUUAUAGCCUUAUAAAAAUAUUAUAGCAUCAAGCAAUUUGUCCAUAUACCAUUCCCUCCCACUAUCUGCCACCCAAAUAAUAAAUGAUACCUAUUAUAUUAAGGCAUAGAAUCAGUACUUUAUAGUAUCUGUUGUAACCUUAGAGCAGCCCUGGGAUUUAUAAAAAUGGAAAAUCUAACUGCAUUGAGCCAAUUUUAUUCUUUCUAAGUGCUAAAAUUAAAAUCUCUUAUGUACUGUAAUGUCACUACUGGGUGUUUUUUUUGGCAUAAUUUCUUUCUUGAGCAUGCAUCUGCUCAGAAGAAAAUAAGAGAAAUGUGGAUAUCUGAUUCUUUAAGCUUGACUGCUAAAUGAAUUAUUUUAAAUAUUUGUAACCUGCGAUUUGGCCUUCCAAAAGGUUUCAAUACAGCCCAUGACAACAGCAAAAUGUAAAGUACAACACUAGAUAAAACAAAGCAAUAAAGGUAAUCCCAAAUGAUGAAUUCGCAGUAUGAAAGCCACAAACGCAGUAUCAACACACCAAAACCAGUUUUGAGUCAACAAAGUCAACCUCAGCUUACUGUAGUUCAGAAGGGAUAUAUUUGGUGGGAGUUCCAGGGAGAAAGCACCCACUCAGGGAAAAAGACUUGUGCAUAAUGCAUUCAAGUCUGAAAAAAGUAGUACUGUAAGCACCAUUUUAGGACUCUUAAUGUGGAAGCCAAGUGGCAGGAGUGGCUGGUGCAGUGAGGUGAGAGUGCAGAGCCAGCCAUCAGACAGCAGGAUUGCACUGUGGGGGUGGGACAGGCAGCAGUGAGGUGAGGUCAGGACUCUGUGAACACAUGAGUAAAGCCAGUCUGGUGCUCUUGCCAGUGUGCACAAGCACCCCCAACCUUACUGGUCUGCCUGGCUCGAGUAAGCACCCAAGAUGCUGAAUUCUGGACUCACAGCUGUCCAUGGAGGCACAGGUCAAUUCUGUGACCAUGGCAGCUGUUUAUCAGCUCCAUCUGGUACGCAGGCUGAGACCCUACCUGCCCACGAACUGUCUCGUGGGCAUGCUCUAGUCAUCUCUCGCUUGGACUAUUGCAAUGCAUUCUAUGUGGGGCUACCUUUGAAGGUGACCCGGAAACUACAACUAAUCCAGAAUGCGGCAGCUAGACUGGUGACUGGGGGCGGCCACCAAGACCACAUAACACUGAUCUUGAAAGACCUACACUGGCUCCCAGGACGUUUCCAAGCACAAUUCAAAGUGUUGGUGCUGACCUUUAAAGCCCUAAACGGCCUCGGUCCAGUAUACUUGAAGGAGCGUCUCCACCCCCAUCCUUCUGCCCGGACACUGAGGUCCAGCGCUGAGGGCCUUCUGGCAGUUCCCUCCCUGUGAGAAGCCAGGUUACAGGGAACCAGGCAGAGGGCCUUCUCGGUAGUGGCACCCACCCUGUGGAACGCCCUCCCAGCAGAUGACAAAGAGAAAAACAACUACCAGACUUUUAGAAGACAUCUGAAGGCAGCCCUGUUUAGGGAAGCUUUUAGUGUUCAAUAGACUAUUGUAUUUUAAUAUUCUGUUGGAAGCCGCCCAGAGUAGCUGGGGAAACCCAGCCAGAUGGACGGGGUAUAAAUAAUAUAUUAUUAUUAUUAUGCUGGCAAGGAGGUGUUUCUGUGCCCCUGCUCCAUCAGCUUAAUGAGGACACUAGUAUUGGGUAAUUGUGUGUGAGCAGGAUCAAUCUGUUGUGCGUUUUUAACACUUUUGCAGAAUAAAAAGGAUGGCAGAUCUCUAAAGGGAGUGUACUACUGUGUUAAUGCUUCAUGACCAAAAUAGAAGGCUAUAAUAAUCUGCAAGAGGGGAAGUGCUUGCCAGCUCAGAUACCUCCAUUCAGCUUUCAGAAGCUUUGAGCACUGGUCAUUGUGGAGGUACAGGACUUGUCUCUUUAAUGUUAUUUCCAUAUGUGGAAUGGAGUCAAUAAACUAUGAACAUCAUUCCACAAGAGUUGGCUGGUCACACCCAAAGUACUCAAUCAAAGUUCAGUUUAGCAGGAAGGAAUGAGGAAAUAUUCCUACUAUCUCCCAAUAUAUUUACUUCCAAACACAAAGAUACACAAAUCAAGGAUCUCUUGCCAGAGAAGUCCACCCAAGGCUAAUCUGUAGUUGCCUCACCCCACAUCAAUCUAUUUCUCCUGACCAUAGGGAAAUAAACGUUACUAGGUUGAUCUGCGUCUUUGCCUAGCAUGGCAAGUUGUCGAUACUCUGUAGGACUGCCUAGGAUAGAAUUAUUUAGAAUUGUUUUAUUCACUUUAUUUGCUAUUUCUUAUUUUGACAACGUGAAUAAAUCUUUUGAUUUGAGUUCUGGAAUUGACACGGUAUUUUAUCUAGCUGAUAGUCCCCUCUAUGUGCCAAGUUGUUUGGUGCAUGCUACAAGCUAAGAAGGAGAGAGAAAGUGAACACUCAGGCCCUGUCCGGGCAGCAACCAGAGAGCUUGCUAAAAGCUACCGUAUUUCCCUCGUCUCAGGUAAAUAAACUUCUUCCUCACCCAGACCUACAUAGAAUCAAGGGAGUGGUGGAAGUUACUAGUCAAUACAUUUUAAAAGUAUGUUAAGCCCUGUCUGCAGCACAGGAUAGGUAGAAUGGCAUUCUUGACGGACAUGAUCUUAAUUGGCAUUCUUUGUCCGACAAGGUGAUCAAAUGUUUGUCCCUGCUCAACACCCCAUUUCUCGUUUGUGAUACCAUAAAUAUAUAAACAUUGUCAUCAUUCUGAACUAGCUUUGUUUGCCCUCGGCAAUGCUGUCAUGUAAACACUUCUGAGCUGCUACAUGACAACCUCACUUGGAAGAAUGGCAAACGGGCGAAAUGCCUUCAUGUCAAAACUGGUGCUGCUGGUCAAGUCAUGGCUAGAGAGAAAAGGCCUGAAAGGAGGAGGGGAGCUCUGUAUUCUGCAUGGGGAGGGGGCUCUGUAUUCUGAGAAACUUUCCCAAUGUCCUGGAAAGCCUCCCUUUCGUGCUGAAAGGGGCACAAUAUUUGAGCAAUAUCAGUGUAUAUAAGUGCAGGCAUAACCUUUUGCUAAAAAGCAAAACAGAACAUUAAUGUUUGAAUAAGCUUAAUGCUGGUGCAGGGAAUUCAAGAACAAACUCAAGCAAGUCUUGUGAAAGCAGUCUGUCAUUCUUGGUGACCUGUUAUAUUGCAUAUGUUAAUGUGACCCAAGAGUAUGUUUCUAAAAUUCUGCUGUCACAGAACAAUGAGCAGCGAUAAAUAAUUGAUAUUUGAUGUUUUGUGCAGCUUUCUGUGUUUCAUAAACAAAUAAUCAUUUAAAUUAUUGAUGUUUCUGCUUGUUUGUUUUCAGCUUUCUUUGGUAAAUCAGAAUUUUAUUUACAGAAUAUACAUUUGUUGCAGAUGCCUUUCAGGCAAUGUGGAAUUGUCAUCCAUCUGACAAAGAUAUUUUGUAUGAGAUUUUCAUCAUUUUGUGACGUUCGUGUUUUGUUUACACCACUUCAGUAAUUCACUUCUGGGACUAAAAGUUGCUUUUGAGGUUUAAACACACUGCAGGAUGCCAAAAAAGCAUCAGAUUCUUCUGUGUUUGAAAGCUUUUGGGCCAUCAAGUGAUCAAAACCUGCCAGAAUCAAACUUGAGAUCUGCCAUUAUAAAUAAGGCACUGACAAUUCUUAUUGUGAAAGGUCAUCCCAAGGGGUAAAGAAGCAAAGACAACUGAAUUGCCCUUGUUCUUUGCUAGGAUAAAAAUGUGUAUGCAAUGUAGAGCUCUUUUGGAACUUUGCUUGUGUCAGUGUUUGAUAUGUAUCAGCCUUGGAAUUAAAUAAUUUUGAUUUCAUUUUGGAAAAUAAAAAUGUAUAGCCAUAUUUGUCAAAUAUAAUGUAUAUCUGAGGACAGGUUUUGGCCAUUCUUAUGUUUUCUAUUCUUUACAGGCAGAAUACUGCAAAAUACCACGAGGAUGUCUGGGUCUUUUCCAUUUCAGUGUAUUGAGGUAGAAUGACACUUAUUGCCAUAGUUCAAAUCACUGUAUUCAUUCCACAAAUAUAGCAAGGUACCCAGUGCUGUGCAGCAUAAGGAUGUUCACAUAAGGGGAAUUCUCCAGUUGCUCCUCUCCACUCCAGCCAAUGCACUUCCAAACAGAGUUGGAGGAUCAUCGAGAGAAGCCUGGGAUGUGGGACAGGGAACUGCAGUGGGAGAAACUGGGUAGAGGCAACUUACACCGUUAUCUUUGUGAUCACAUUGCACUGCAUACAGCACAAAACUGUAAUCAGCUUCAAAAACCUAACUCUUAUUGGCCCAAACUCCAGUGUAUUUUACUAUUUUCAUACAAACACAAGCAAAAAUAGAAAACUCACACUUAAAUGUAGUGGAUUCUAAACUUACUUUCAAAUUUAAAUUAAAUGUGGUCACUUAAUCUUUGACUCUAUAUUACCAGUUUAUAUUUUCCUCAACAGAGAUAUUUGACAACUACGGUUUGCAAGCAGUACUGUAUAUAUUAUAACCCUUUGGCUGGGUUUUUUUUUGGGGGGGGGUUCUGUUUUGCGAUGGCAUUCUGAAAAUAAUGCUCAUGUCUCAAUUUAAUUUGUAAUUUUAGUUUAUAUGUCAGUUUGAAAUGCUGAUUACCUUUUAUGGGAGUAUUUAAGUCCAAAUUUUGAAAGUAUGUUAGAAUUAGGUUGUGUACAUGAUCCAGAAAGGGGCAUGUUUCUGUACUCGUAGAAUAACGUUUCCAUAUAUACACACACACACCAGUUGUAUGAGGAACUAUAUGUAGGUAUUUCACACAGUUUCCCUAGCUCAAUCCCAAACCAGUUGCAUGUGCAUAGCCCUAGUCAGGUAAUUGUUUAGACCGCCCCCAUUCUGUUUUCCCUUAACAUCUCAUCUGCACUCUUGCCAAUUAUGUGGCCAGAAAUGCAUGUGUGAAGCCAGAUUAGGGCCUAUGCAUGUAUGAGACACUUCUGCUGAAUCAAGGCAUUUUUCAUAUUCUACAAUCCUCUUGAACAUGUCUCAAGAAGAACAAGUUACAUUCUCACACAAUUUGCAACUCAUUUCCACAGGGGGUACACAAGAGGAGUUUACAGCAAAUUGCAGCCCUUUACCCCAAUUCUGCUAAGGAAAUCAAUAUGCUUUUCACUUGCUGGAUCAGGAACUAGGGGCCUCAAUCUGAUUCAGAUUCAAGUGUGCAUUGGCAUAUGCAUCUGAAUAUGGAUGUUGCUCAUCCAUACUGCAUUGCUUUCAGCUGAGUAUAUAUUUGAAUUUUAAUAGCCAUCCACAUUCUGGUACAACUAGUCAUAUAUAAAUACAUCUUUUAAAUAUGCCUAGAGUUGGAUUAGGACACUUAUCAGGCACACACAUUUUAGUAAAACGCGCCAAAAAAGGGAAGCAUUGAAGAGUUGCAUACAAAAAAAGAAAUACAUCUCUCACAGAUGCCAAGAAAAAGGAUGGGCUCUUUAUUUUUGUAACAAGCCCAACUCGUUUUGGCCACAAAUGCCUUUGUCAAGGACUUAAUGAACCAGUCUCAAAGCUUGUUGUUGUCAAAGUCUGUUAGGGCAACAUCUCAUGUAUUUCAGUAACCUUUUUUAAAAAAACAAAAGCACAAAUUUUCAGCUGAACUUUGGGGAACAUUUCUGACACAGUAUACACAUUCCAUAGUCAUUUGCUGCUAAUCUAAUGUGUAAAGGCAUAUUAAUAAAUACAUUCAGCUAAACACAAUGCUUCCUCCAACUUGGAUCCAAAGAGCAACUUGUGAUACCGAUCCCACUUAUGCAGGUGUGUGACCACUUCUGCCAAUUUCCUCUACCACCUGCAGCACCCUGCAAUGUGUCAUGCAAAGUUAGAAAAGGUUCCACAACCUUCAAUAGUGGGAAGAAGGUAGGAAAUGCCCACUGAAUGAGCAUAACUCUGCUUGUGGUCCUUUGGAUUUAAGCUUAAGUUGUCAUUCAUCCUGAUCAAAUUCCAUAUUUUCCCAUAUAUUUAUAAUAGACAAUAGUUUUUUACAGUGCAAGUUUUUGAACUAUAAACUCAUGAAAUAUGUCAUUUCAGAUAGGGCAGUGCUUGGCAUAAAUUUUCCAGUCAUUCAGAUAGAUGGGUAAUAAAAAUAAUGUGCACUUUUAUUGGAGAUAUGAUAAGUAAAUGUGUUAUUGUCUUCAAACAAAUGUGUAUAGCUACCGUGAGCUUCUGAACGAAUGGCAGUUUUUAACAGUAAACUUUCCUAAAAGCUGCAUGAACACAAAAGCAACUUUACUGCAUCUGAGGCAGGUGCUUUCCUCCUAAAAUGAAUUUAAAACAUAUGAAGAAAACUGUAUUAAUGAUGUAUAUACGUGCCAAUACACAUAUUGUGUAUAUACACACAAUGUCCUGUGUGUUGGAUGAUGAUCACUGUAGCUAGGGAUUUACCGGUAUAUGUUUUUUACUGCACCUAAUGCUUUGGAAUUAUGGUGUUGGAGGAGACUCUUGAGAGUCCCAUGGACUGAAAGAUCAAACCUCUCCAUUCUUAAGGAAAUCAGCCCUGAGUGCUCACUGGAAGGACAGAUUGUGAAGCUGAGGCUCCAAUACUUUGGCCACCUCAUGAGAAGAGAAGACUCCCUGGAAAAGACCCUAAUGUUGGGAAAGAUUGAGGGCACAAGGAGAAGGGGAUGACAGAGGACGAGAUGGUUGGGCAGUGUUCUCGAAGCUACCAGCAUGAGUUUGACCAAACUGUGGGAGGCAGUGGAAGACAGGAGUGCCUGGCGUGCUCUGGUCCAUGGGGUCACAAAGAGUCGGGCACGACUAAAUGACUAAACAACAACAACACUGCACCUAACAUCUUAUUGGUAUUAAAUAAAUCAGAGAUGGACAGAUGGUGAGCCUUACAUUGGAUCUAACCCCUAAAAAAAUGUAUAUGGCUCUAAGUAAUGCCAACAAAUUUCAAAUCAAGAUUUAGUAGUAGUUGGGGGUUUUUUUAAGCAGCUUCAAUGGUACAAAAAUCAAUGGAACAACGUAUUUUUUUACAUUAUUGGGUGAUAGCCAACUAAAUCAUAACCAGAGUUGAGUUACUAAAAUAAAAGAACUACUGUUAGGAGAUUUUUGAAAUAUUAAGUGGUUUAUAAAUGCAUUUCAAUAAAUACAUUGACUUCAAUGGGUUUACUCUGACUAUGAGUAACAGUGGAUAGCACCCAUUGUUUUCCUCUCAUGCAUAUUAUGAAGGGCAAAGAACACUGAGCCAGUGUGGUGUAGUGGUUAAGAGUGGUAGUCUCGUAAUCUGGGGAACCGGGUUCGCGUCUCUGCUCCUCCACAUGCAGCUGCUGGGUGACCUUGGGCUAGUCACACUUCUUUGAAGUCUCUCAGCCCCACUCACCUCACAGAGUGUUUGUUGUGGGGGAGGAAAGGAGAAUGUUAGCCGCUUUGAGACUCCUGAAGGGGAGUGAAAGGCGGGAUAUCAAAUCCAAACUCUUCUUCUUCUUCUUCUUCUUCUUCUUCUUCUUCUUCUUCUUCUUCACCACUGUCAAUUCUGCCUUUUGAAAGUGUAUUUUGCUAAAUUCAUUGGUUUGCAGCCACUCUCCCUUCAAUGACUUAAUGCUAUCUGAGCACAUACCUGUGAAGCACUUACUACCAAGCAAACCAACGUUGCUAUAAAGCCUGACCAUCUGUGAGGGAUUUGGAUUGUUCCACCACCUGGUCUAGAGUGGCUCUCAAGAAGUUGAAAGUUGGCCAAGCCUGAAAUAAACAAGUUUCGAAAGCAAUUUCCAGAGGGCUACCUUUGUCAGUCUCUCAAAGUGAAAACAACAGAAAGUCUUUUCAAGCCUUAAAGACUAACUGAUUUAUUAUGGCAUAAGCGUUUGUGUAUUAUCGUCCACUUCAUCAGAUGCAGAAUUAUCCUCAGCUGGUAGACACAGGUACACUUGGCAGUGAGAGAGAGAAAUGCUAGCAGUAAUGCCAGAGAGAAAUGAAAUGAAUGAAAUACAGUGAUACUGUAUUAAAGCAUAAAUGUAUGUAGAAUAAUUGCAGUGACCAUUCACAAAGCAGUGUUGCCGAUUAUGCAAAUACGAUUACGCAUUGGCAAAGUGAUUAACACCUGUAGUGGACUAAAAUUCCACUACUGCAAUAGCACUAACAGAUACAAGUUAAAGGUACAGAGUGCCUUGUAAUUCCACUUCAUCCCUAUAAUCUUCCUGAGAAUCUCCAUUUUCCUUUUACCAGUGGAGAAUUAAGGCUAAAGUGGAUAUUCAUACUUGCGUUAAAGUGUUUUUUAAAUAAUAGCCAGGGUUAUCUAUUAUGGCAAACAACAACAACAACAACAACUGGGGUGAAUUCAACCCAGACUUAAUCUUGCUUAACCCAUUGAAAUGUUUAGCCUUAAUCAUGCUUAACUUCUGUCUUAGAUUUAGGCUAUGUUGUUGUAAUAAUGGCUAGCAUAUUAUAGUUUGUCUGAGUUGUUUGUCUGAGUUGUGGGGUCAAUGUUAAUCAGUGAAGAUAUGAAUUAAGAACACUUUUUUCUAUUUUUGAGUCUAUUUCAGUUUCCUGUUGUAUUAAGAAUCAGAAUAGGCUUUUCUUUCUAACAGUGAAUGGAAGCUUGUGUUAACAUGCAUAUUUAUUUAGAUUUAAUUGAAUGAUUAAUUGGUGGAAAUGAGAUCAUUAAUCAACUAUGCAAUUCGUUAAGCAUGACAGCCCUACUUUUUUUAAAACUUUUUUUAGAAGGUAAUUCCCUGCAAAGAUGUGGCAUCCCAAAUGACCCUGGGCCAGAAAGAGAUUCCAGAAUGUCCACUACAGAGGAACAGGUAUAGCGCAGAAUAAAUAAAUAAAACAAAAACAUGACCAGCCACUUUAAGCAAGUCCCACUUUGUCAUCAGAAAGUCAAUUCACUCAGCUUAGCAGCAUUCAAUUCUCAAUAACAUUUUGUUCUGGGUCUCUGUCAAGUUAUUCUAGGCUGUGAAAUUGUCAGGAAUGAUGGAUGACUAUCACCCUUCUGCUAUCUUUUUGCUUGUUCCUUAGAGAUUUGCAGCUGCUGACUGCAAGACUCUUUUCUUUCGUUCUUUCUUUUUUCCAAACAUGCCAAAUGAACAACAGUAAUUACCAGAGAGCCUACACUACAAUUAUUGUAGCACAUAACUUUGUAUCGACAUCUGCAAGAGACAGAAUGUUCAAGAUUGAUUAGUAAUGAUAUCGCUUCCUGCUUUUAUACCAAUGUUCACACAGUUUAUUUAUUUGUAUCUAAUUUUCACAUAAAACAUUGCCUUCUCAUUUCUCACUGUUCGUAACCUGUAGAUUUCUACUAAUUUCUUGCAAUGUAUAAUGGUUUAAGCAAGCGUUCUGCCAAUGCCCAAUUAAGUUGUACAGCAUUUAUAACACAGGGCAGAGUAAAAGACCACAUCUGUAUUUGUCAGGAAAAAAUAAAAAAGUUACUCUGUUGUUCCAGAACAAACUACAUAAAGGUGUACAGCAGUUCAGUGUGUGGUCUGUAUAAUGAGGUAAAGCAGGGUGACUUGAUGCAUUUUCUUCCUCUCCCAUCACGCUGAAGCACAGUGUCAAACUGCCUACAAUGGAUUAGGGCCCUUGCAAAGCCUCAUGUUGCUCUGUUGUUUCUGCCCUUUACAGUUCUGUUUUCCUUUUUAUCUGUGUUUCCCAAGGUCCAUGAGCUACAACAGAUUUUCGAUAUGCGUUCCCAUAUGCAGAAUGGUAGACUGGAAUUAAGCAUAGCUGCUUCAGAAAGGUUGUAGCUCUGUGGUAGAUAGAGUGCAUGCUCUGCAUAGAGGUCUCAGAUUAAAUCCCCGAUCUCACAGAAUUGCUUAUCCUCCAUCAUCCCAUUUAUCAAUAUCAGGACACUCUUUGGAGGGGGGGGAGUGUCCUGAGCUCUUGUAGGAGUGCAAGACCAAAAAAUGUGUGUCUUUUGGUUAGCUGGUGUGAACCAGCUAACUCACGCCAGAGCACUGGACAAAAAAACGGGACAUUCUGGGAUCCAAUGAGAAUGUAAGGGAAGUCAGGGAAGUCCUGCUCAAACCUGACCAAGGCAAAAUAGUCUGACCAAGGCAAAAUAGAAUGAUACUAUUAUUUUCCUUGAUCUGGACACUAACGUUGAUGCAGUUAAAAGGACUAAAGAAGCUGAAGAAGGAAGGUUUACAGCUCAGUGAUGGAGCGUAUAUGUCACAUGGAGAAGAUCCCAAGUUCAAACUUGAUUAAAAAAAACCUCAGAUAGUAGGACUAGAACAGAAUGUUGUCUGAGACUUUGGAAAGCUGUUGCCAAUCAGAGUACAAUGUACUGUUAUACAACAAACUAUGCUUACUUGAAGAAGAAGAAGAGGAGUUUGGAUUUGAUAUCCCGCUUUAUCACUACCCGAAGGAGUCUCAAAGCGGCUAACAUUCUCCUUUCCCUUCCUCCCCCACAACAAACACUCUGUGAGGUGAGUGGGGCUGAGAGACUUCAAAGAAGUGUGACUGGCCCAAGGUCACCCAGCAGCUGCAUGUGGAGGAGCGGAGACGCAAACCCGGUUCACCAGAUUACGAGUCUACCACUCUUAACCACUACACCACACUGGCUCUACUUAGGUAAAAGUUCAGCAGUUACACUGCCUCAGUACUAUGGGGGUGUGCAACAGAUAAUAUUUUCAAGACAUGCCAUUUCUACUGCUACUACUACUACUACUACUACUACUACUAAUAAUAAUAAUAAUAAUGGAUUGUGUAUAUGCCUCCCAUCUAACUGGGUUGUCCCAGCCACUCAGAGCAGCUCCCAACAAUAUAUUAAAAAUGCAAAAUAAUUUGCAAUUCUUAUCUCAAAUUUUAAAAACACAGUUUGCUAUUUAGCUUCUGAGAAACACAAGCCCCAAACUUCAGUGGGCAUGUAAAACCAGUAAUGCAACUCUGGAUUGUGACCAUAGUAAUAUGCUCAUCUAUAUUCUGAUCAGGUAUUUGAACCUAAAUUUCUCACACCCAAUCCAAACAUAGUAUUCACUGCACCAUGCUGCCCCUUGGUGGCUUAAGACAUGAAAACUGGUAAAAAUGUAUUAAUGUUUAUAAUAAAAAUUCAUAGCUUAUUGCAUUGUAGAACACCCCCUGCAGAAGCCAAUUCCAUGAUGUUCCUUGUCUCAUCUUUCCAUAUCCUAUGCUACUUUCAAAAGAAUGAAUAGUAUCUGUGAUGCAAUAUACGGUACUUAUUUGUUCAUUUUCAAACCUUUGUUCAUCAACAAUGCAGUAUAUAUUUUUAAUGGACAAAAAAAUGAAAACAGUAAACAUCUGCAUGUAACAGAUAUGUAAGUACUUUGGUAAAUUUGCUGGUUUAUCCAAGAUUAGAUUUAUCAAAAGAAAAAUACAGACCAAUCAUCUCAGUGGUUUACAGAACAAUCCACCCCACUUUGUGCUAGGUUGUUUGGGGGUACUGCAGCAUUGGGUGGAGGUUUCCCUCCACUGGCCUCUGAGAUGCCAGAGUCACUCUGAUAACACAUAGCUCUGCUUCCAUGUACCCAAUAUGCAGGUGAGUGGAAGUGCGGCCAGUGUGUUCCCCAAAUAAGGGGACAGUGGAAAGUUCUGGAAUCAGGCAUUCCAGGAGCAAGCAGGUGCUGAGCAUCCUUGCAUUUUUGUAAAGAAAGCCAUGAACAAAUGCAACAAAUAAACAAGUGUAUAUAGGUCACCUAGCUUCUUCCCCACUUAUACAAUCCAAUACAGUGGUACCUGAGGUUACAGACGCUUCAGGUUACAGACUCCGCCAACCCAGAAAUAGUACCUCGGGAUAAGAACUUUGCUUCAGGAUGAGAACAGAAAUUGUGCUCUGGCGGUGCAGCAGCAGCAGGAGGCCCCAUUAGCUAAAGUGAUACCUCGGGUUAAGAACAGUAACAGGUUAAGAACGGACCUUCAAAACAAAUUAAGUUCUUAACCUGAGGUACCACUGUACUUGGCUAUGAAACCCCUACAUGUAUAGCCCCUGAAAUAUUUUGUACCUAAUUUUGAAUUAACAGCUGAUGUUCUAGAAUGAAAAUUAAAUGACCUUUCUUUCUUUUUUUAGGGUGGGGAUCCAAAAGAUUGCUCAAGGAACUUUGCAAGGUAACAAUAAGUUUUCAGAGGUGACAUUCAACUGUCUCUGAUGCAGUCAAAAAAUGAGGAAGUUCUGGUUCGUGGGCAGGAAUUGCAUGUCUCUAUAGAUCCCAACUGUUGUGGCUGCAUUUACCAAACAUAAACCAGCUGCUUCCUGCUUUACCUUUUAACCCUGUAAAUGUUAUCUCUAUUGAUAUUACACCUAUAACUACAGUGGAAGAGAUUUAACAAGGCAUUAUAGAAGCUUCUGAGUUUGUCUGCAGCUCAUGCGUGCUUCUAAUUGGAAAUUACUGCACUGUCUUCACAUAGAGAUAAGGAUUUAUGUCAUUUUAUCUAGAGAAUAAUUUUCUCACAAGAGAAAAAAUUAAAACCACAUUUAAUCAAACAUUAAUUUACCAUUAAUGUGUUCAUAAGUUAUCUUACUUUAUUUAGAAAUUGUCAGUAAUCCUGUUUGUGUAUGCAUUUAAAUACAAGUCAGUCACUUCCUUUCUUCCUCCUCCUACAAUACUCAUCCCCAUUCUCAUGAUAUUACAGUAUCACUAUGACAACAAUCGUACUGUUUUAAGAAUGCUUAGAAAGGGAGAAUGAAAGUGAUCUUAUCUGUGCAAGUCUGCCUGAAAAAACGUAUGGUGAAUGAAGGAGAGCUGAAGAAAGACGAAACAAUACAUUUACACACACAAUAUUAGUUGAGAUUCACAUAACAGCUAGUAUUAAAACCUAGCAGAGGCAUAUAAUUUUGAGUUCAUGACAGUAUAACCUAAGGUUUGCAAUCAUGCACUCAGUUAAAUAGGUUUUAAGCGAGCAUAUCUGGAUAGAGAAGGUCAUAUGUAUACAGUGGGUAGCAAAACAUUUACAGGGAACUGGAGAAAAUCCUUUCUUUGCAAUGAUACUGCUUAUGUUCUAAGGCUGUGCAUUAUGAUCACCAACAUCUUGCCCUCAGAAGAAGUUUAGACAGUCUAAUUUUGAAUUGUUGACAUCUCCUCGGUUUAUUAAAUCCUAUUUACAACAGACCAUGCUCUAUUUUAGUGCAGCUAUGGGGAAUCAAGGAGCUUGUGGAGUUCUGUUCAGAACUUCUCAGUUUUAUACAUACUGCAGUUUUGAAAUUGCAAGAGUUUGGAAUCAGGGAGGAGCUGAAUGAGUAAGGUUCGAUCCAGACAAAAUGGAGAUGUUGAUGACAGUUCUUCCAGUUAACACAGGAGAAGAUGAAGGUUCAGUAGAAGGUUGUAUUCCCAUAUACACUCUUGAGCUGCUCCUAGACCUAAACUCUGUUCCUGAAACCUGGCUGGCAUCUAUCACAAGGAAUGCCUUUCAGCAACAUAUACUGGUGAGUCUGUGGCUGCUCCUGGAGAAGGUCAAAUUGGUCACUGGCAUUCAGGUCUUGGCAACCUCCAGGCUGGAGUUGAUGAGGCUGCCUUUGAAGUCUGUUGAAAACUUCAAUUAGUUUGAAGUUCAAAGUGUUUACUUUUAAAAUACUAAAAUACUGUCUUUCGAUUAACCUUUGAGGGUGUAACUUGAGUAGUUUUGUCCAGCUGAUUUAACAGCCACUGAUAAAUUAUGAUGUAUUUUAAUGCUCCUUUGGCAUAUUUCUUUCUUGCAGUUGUGUUAUAGUUCCUUCUUUAUAUUUGCUGUUAUCUGUUGGUUGGUGGUUUUGAUGCCUUUAUAUUUGCUGGUCAAUGCCUGAGGGCUAUGUUCAGCUGAUGAAGGAGAAAAAAGCCACAUAUCAAUAACCAGGAGAAAUUGGUAGACUGGAAACAGCCAUGAGAGUGGCAACCACUUGACAGGAAAGUGAAGAUUCUCAAUGCACUAUGCUUCCAAUGCAGUGGAUAUUCUCCCAUGCUUGUAUAUUGAAGGAGAAGGUUUCUGACUUUCAUUGGUUUAUCACUAUCUUCCUUGAAGGUAUUUCCCCAUUGUUACCUUUCCAGGAAAACUGCGCUAAACUGUCCUUUGUGGUGGCUUGAAGACCUGAUUGAAGACCAAUGAGGUGCAGAUCACAGCUUACAUGUAGACCAGCCCAUCACAGCUUACAUGUAGACCAGCCCACAAAUAGUGAAUUUAGUCAGUGGUCAUAAACAUGGACUCAGAUCAUGGCUCAAGGAUUGUAGGUGAGGAAGCAGUCUUGUCCCUGUCAACUUUUCCAAGGACUAACAUAGCAGGACACGCUGGAAGUCAUUUGAUAAUUUGAAAAUGGCUGACAAUAGUUGGGUUACGUUAUAGCCAAGUGGCAAUACACUUCAGGAUCUAGCUCUUCAACAGAUGCCACAUCUUGUACCGCAUAAACCCAGCAGCGAACCCCUUCCUUAGGACAGCUGGUGCAGAACUAGGCACAGUAUCACAACAGCAAGUAACCUCUGUGCCCAGUUCAGAUGGUCUGCAAAAGCACCAUAGGACCCAAAGCACUUGCAGAACAGCAUGAACUUGCCUUACUCUGAAAUGCUACAAGACAAAACUACCCAUUGGAACGAUAAUUUUAUAUGAUUGGGAGGCUACACAGCCAGCAUCUAGCAAGUAACAAAUAAUGCAAGAAAAAAAGCAGGUACAGGAAUGGAUAAGGUAACUUAAGCAAGUUCAAGGAAGGAAUGAAAGUUUUCAAUCUCUUGUUUCCCUGUAGCUCCCUGUGAUCCCUUAAAAGGCCGCCCCAGGAAGUCAAAGGGUAGUUCUGAAAUGAGGUGUAAGAGGCUGCCUGAGAGUUUAAUUAUCAUUAGGACCCAAGUCCAAUUUUGGAUAACUCUAUCUAUCCCCCAACAGCUUCCUACACCCCAUCCAACAUUGUUGAGGAAGACCUAACCAACAUUUCAGAGCAGCUUUCUGGGAAUAGGGGUUUUGCUGGAUCUAGAAAAGGAUACAAAACUUUCCUUCCAUAAAUUUCCUUCAUGUAGCAUAUAUUAAGACCCAAGCCAUAAUUAGAGCAUGUGUGCUGAUCAGCCAGCUAUGUUAUUUGAGAGGGCACAGCAGUGGGGAAAAUUACUUUGCUCCUGACAGUGAGUGGGCACAAGGUAAGAGUGCUGCAAGGCCUGAGGUGGUCAACAAAGAUGUGGGCCUUAAUAAACUGCUUACAUACACCCUCAACAAAAACACCUUCAAUAAAUCAGACUGAGUCUGAGCUACUGCACAGCUGCAUUUCUUGACCCAUCCCUUAUCCUUCAGAGACCAUCCUUGAUGUCUGCUCACCUGGAGACAUUGUAGGAAAAGCAAGAAGGAUAAAGGACUACGUAUGUUAUCUCUCUUGACAAGAAAUCUUGAAAAUGCAGUUAUGAAAAUGAAAAAAGAAGUCCCAGGAAGCCUGAAAUGAGUGGAGUGGGGUGACACAGUUUGAAGUCUCUGACCUUUUACACUCUGGUUUGGAGGGGAAAAUGAAAGGUCUAUUCAAUGGUAAGGUACUUGAAAUGGAGCUGUAGAAUAUCUGGAUAUGCUGGAGUUUAAAAGUUUUAAAAUAAUGAUAAUAAGCCAGCUCAACGUCUUUAUAAAUUUACCAUUUGUCUUGCCUACCAGCAAGACUUUCUUCAGAGAGGCUGUUUGGAAGUUGGGUUUGUUGUUGGUAUCAGGAAAACUUGUCUGUUGCCUUCAAAUGUUGAGAUGCUUGCUUUUACAAGAAACAGUAGCAUGACAUGACCCUGAGGCAAGCCUGUCACCUUCAUUGCAAAUCUUUAGGUGCCAGGCAAAAACAUUUCUCUUCUCCUAAGCCUCUGGCUAAUUAAGCAACAUAUGGCCUUUUAAACUGGUGGUGAGGGCAUUAUUUUGCUUGUUUGUUACUAUGUUAUAAAAUUUUGUGGUUUUAUAUUGUAAGCUGCCCUGUGAUCCUCGGAUGAAGGGUGUUAUAGAAAUUUAAUAGAUAAAUAAAUAAAAAUAAAAUGCCCAGUCUCUUUUCUCACCUGUAAUGCAGGAGGAAGAGUAGGGUUUGGAAGAGGUCUCAGGUGUAGAAUAGCAUGAACAGAAUCAUGAGGAAAAAGACAUUGAAGAAGCUGUGUCCCAUGAAGAUUUCCACAAAUAGACAUUGUUUGUCUAUUUUUUUAUUGUAUGUUAGUUUUAAAAAUAACCACAUGAGAAAAUGAAGAAUAUCAACAGGAGAGACCUUUAUUUUUGACCAUGAAAACAAAAAAGAGAAAGUAAACAUCUGUAAUAUGCUUAUCAUUUCAGCCAAAAGUUGGCCAACAAAAGUUGUGCUUCCCUUUAGCAAAAAUAAGGAAUUAUCUUUUGACAUUCUUUCUUUAGAAACAAAUGUCCAUUCCACUUAGCCCAUCCUAACAGCCAGAUCCUUUGCUUAGCUCCUCCAGAGUAUCAAUUUGGUGGUGUGCCUUCUGUCUGU